AAAUUCCACAUGACGAAAAAUUCUACAAUACAAUGGGUAUAUUGAUGACGUCGCGUAACAAAUUAAUUAAAAAUUUUUUUAAAAAAAAUAUAUAUCCCAUCGUGAUUAUAAAAAAAUAUUUUUAUUGUACUUUUGUUUGAAAAGAAAAAAGGUGAUUGGCUUGUUAUUGAUGACGUAGUGCAAGUAUGAUAGUGUAGAAUUCCUCCCCUAGGACACGCACGCAUAUAUAUAUAUAUAUAUAUAUAUAUAUAUAGAGAGAGAGAGAGAGAGAGAGAGAGAGAGAGAGAGAGAGAGAGAGAGAGAGAGAGUUGGACUGGGCUACUAUUAGUAGCAAAAUUUUAUUAUUGCUAUCAGUUUUUUAGCCUUUGGAUCAACUCUUUUCAUUAUUUCUAACCAUUGGAUUAAAUACUAUAAUCCAGUGGGGACCACUCAACCCUACGGGGACCACUCAACUCUAACCGACUAAUAUCAUCCUGACUCUACAAUUUUUCAUCCAAAGGUUAAAAACUUGAUAGUAAAAAGAGUGUUUUACUAUUAAUAGUAUUUCAGCCUAAUUAUAUAUAUAUAUAUAUAUAGAGUGAGGCUACUAUGCUAUCGGAAGACGGAGGCUUCCGUGCUUCCAGCUUGUUUUCGAUGUUGCGACUUUCGAAUCGUCGAUCGGCUCCGUUAAACUUGAUCUAGAGUAUUUGGAGUACCUAGAAAAUAAAUUUUAUGAUUUUACGAUAUCAUUUGCCUAGUGAAUGAAAGGGCUCAAAAUCACCGGCUGAAAAUAAAAAUUUUACAAAAUAUAAUAAUAUGACAUUAAAAUUUUAAAUCAAAGAUAUUGAUCUUGUUUUAUAUAGUAUAAAGAAUUUUCUAUCAAAAUUUCACAUGAUUUGGAUAUUUCUAUACCGUUAAACUUGCAAACGGCUCACUACGGCCAUUGAAAUUUGUUGAUUUUGAGCCCAUUCGAUCACUAUGCAAAUGAUAUCGAAAAAUAAUAAAAUUUAUUUUCUAGGUACUCCAAAUACUCUAGAUCAAAUUUAACGGAGCCGAUUAACGAUUCGAAAGUCGUAACAUCGAAAACGAGCUGGAAGCACGGAAGGCUCCGUGCUUCCGAUAGCAUAGUAACCUCACUCUACAUAUAUAUAUAUAUAUAUAUAUAGAGAGUUGAGCUAGAAUACUAUCGGUAGCAAACAGGCUCCGUUGCCACCCAUUUGUUUUUGAUGAUGGAGCAUCCAAAUUGAUGAUCGACACCGUUAAAUAUGAUCUAUACCACUUGAAUUAUCUAGAAAUCAAAUUUCAUGCUUUUAUGAUAUUGUUCUCUUGUCCAUUAAGUGGGCGUAAAAAUAAACGACUGAAAAUGAAUAUUCUCUAAAAAGUGAUAAUAGGAAUUUGUAAUCAAGAUCGAGAGUAUAGAUCUUAUUCUAAAUAGUUUAAAGAAUUUUCUAACCAAAAUUUAAUUGAUUUAGAUAGCUUUACACCGUUAAACGAGAAAACGACUCAUAUCUAUCAUUAAAAUUACAAAUUUUGAAACCCUUUGAUCAUUAGGUCAAUGAUGUCGAAAUGAUUUGAAAUUUGAUUUUUAGAUACUUCAAGUGGUAUAGAUUAUGUUCAACGGUGCCGAUCGUCAAUUUAAAGGCUUCAUCAUCGAAAACAAAUGGAUGACAACUGAGCCGGUUUCUUACCGAUAGCAUUCCAGCUCAACUCUAUAUAUAUAUAUAUAUAUACACACACACNNNNNNNNNNNNNNNNNNNNNNNNNAAAUAUCAGUAUACAAAGAUGAGAAACUUAAGCUAUUUGAAAUAAUUAAUAUUAAAUAUUUCAAUAUUCGUAACUUUAGCAUUAUAAAUUAUUCUUCAACAUGUAAAUACUUUCAUUAACCCUCCAAACCUCACCUAUUACAAAUUUACUCUCAAAAACCAAAAGUUACAGGGUUUUAUAGAGCUAAUGCAAGUAGGUAAAGUAGUGCUAUCUACAAAGUAGGCGGCUACGCCCUUUACCGCGAAUCCAUCAUGAAGGCCGCGUCCUGUUACUUCCCAAACACAGGGGUGAGAGUACGAUAGUUCCGGGUUCGGGCCGCGACUCACGAUUACCACUAGGUCUCUUAGCAGGCAUAGAGGAGAUAUAUAUGCAUAUAUAUAAAAAUUGAGCAUAAAUGAUUUGCAGUUUAUGUCAAGACUAUUAUCAAGCUAUGCCUCAUCUGGAUCUAUGAAUGAGAACAUACAUAAAGAUGUGUAACCUGUAAGCAAACUUAUCAAAUCUACAAAGUAUCAGUAGUAUUAACAUGUUACGGUAAGACAACACUGAUGAUGACAAAACAUUGUUACUAUGAAUUAUCAAUCAUGGGUAGAUUAAUAUGGGGAACCAAUCUCCAAAGCGAAAUCAAGGUUCACGCAAGGCUCACAUUCAAUCUCCUAGGGUAUGCCUAGCUGGGGUCGAUCCCGAGUAGCGCCUGCGAGUAACAAAAGGCUAUCGAGCAUGCGAGCAGGGCUUGCUUCUGGUGACAAAAUCCGGGAGCGCAACAUUGAGGGGAGCGACCCACAAGGCAGACAUGGAAUGUGAGCGAGGAUCAUUCCGAGCAAACAAUCAACAUAACCCUGAGGAGUGAAUAUAUCAUGGAAGCAAGGAUCGUUACAGUACCAAUCUCAUAGAUGCUCUCAACUACAUAUGCUCUGAUAUUAGAUUCAUCUCAAUUCAUAUGUCAUCGUCUAGUUUGCUAACUAGAUGCACUGUCAUUAGAUCAUUUUCAACAUAGUUAAUCUAUGGUUCUUGCAAUCUAGCUUAUAUCUAAUAUAGGGUUAAAGAAUUCAUCAUCAAACUCUAUCAUUUAUCUGAUGCUAUGUUUUUAAACAUUAUCAACCAUUCUACAGCAAUAGCAUGAAAUUAAGUCACAUUAUAGAUUCUUGAACCUAUAAGAACAUGCACAAUAUUGCAAAAGAUCUUAUUAUAAUUGACAUAGAAAGGUGGCCGUGACUUCGGUAUCCGCCACCUUUGGUGAUGACGCACACUCGAGCGUGUUUCGUACUAGUCUUGUCGCCGCUUAGAUUUUUUUGGGUUAUUUACUACUGGAUUCAAAUGUGUGUAACUUCGCGCCACUGUCGGAUGAUCGAACCGUCUUGCCUACGGUCUAUUAAGCGGAAUUAGCGUUUACUACCUCACAAGGAGAUAUCAAACUUAUAUUUCAAAAAUCCAAAUUAACCUAGGGUAUAGCACAAUAGAGAAUUCAUGGUUUCAAGCUCAAUUAAAUUGUCGAGGAUUGACUUUCUUAAUCCAUGGUUUACAGUUUUCGAUAUAUCCUUAAGCAAUAAAUACCUCUUCAAACCUUAGUGUUAAGCAAUAAUGAGGAAAACCCAUGGCGUUAGCUUAAUAUGAGUAGAUAUCAUCAGUCUCUUAAACUAUUAGGUUUCCAUUUGAACAAUUAAAGGCAAGCAAAAAAACAUCCAAAAACCUUAAACCUAGAAUCUCAUUUGGGUUUGAGGUUUACCGUGGGUUUUGCUCACAAGACAGCCUAGGCAGAACGAAGCGUGAGAGGAGCUCCAAAACUUUUUCUUAUCUCUUCUUUUCUUUACUCUCUUUUCGCUUUUUUCCUCUUUUUUUCCGUUUCUUCUUCUUUCCUAUAUGUAGGUUAGAGAGAGAGAGUUAGAGAGAGAAUGUGAGCUGGAGAGUGAAGAGGAGAGAGAGCUGCGGAAGUUGAAGGGAUAUAACUUAUGUACACAAUGCUAAAACCUCAUUUAACGAUUUUCAACUUAACGCCCAAGCUGGGCCCUUGUACGGUCACGGGGCUUGUUACCAGGUACAGGCAUUAAACCCGAGCGCAAAUCGAAGCCUCGGGUAAUCUGUUUCGCAGGCUAUUGACGGUACAGCCGCCGGUGUACGGUACAAGCACGUGAAGCCUUCGACAGUGAGUACGCAAGACUUGGAGUGCGAUGGCACAUGUCCGGUUACAACCACACCUUGUACCGGUUUAAGGAGUCAGAGAUGUGUUUUUCAUCUUUUCGCUGUUGCUGCCUGCCAAUCUGUCCAACCUCAACUUUAGUCAUUUGCUCUUCAAAUGUUGGAAUCGAAUGGAGUUAUAUAUCGUUUAUCGCUUACUUUGUCCAUUGGACAAAGUGUAGUCAACAUCGUACGGUUUGUAUCUUAAUACACUCUAUGGGCAUAAUAGACAAUAAUAAUAUACUUGAUCUUUGUUCGAUUGAUAGAAAAAAGUUAUCGUUGCCCAAAGGUUAUACUUUAGGCACAACUAAAUGGUUAAUUUGUUCGGUUUGUUCUUGUUGAUGUUGCAUCGAUUAUUCAAUUUACACUCUCGAGGCAUAUAGAACAUAUAAUAGCUUUAAAUCCUUUGUUCGAUGAAUAAGAAAUACUCGUUGGAAAAGUUACACUGUUAGGCGCAACUGUUUAGUUAUUGUUUUCGGUUUUGUUCUUGGGAAGGUUGACAUCUAUUCGUUCCAAAUUUUUACACUCUGGUGUGAUUGAACAGUGAAUAUUAGGUUUUACUGGUUGUUCGAUUGAAUGAGAAAAUGUACUCGGUGCAAGUUAUUACUUUGGGCAACUAGUUGUUUUAUGUUGUUCGGUUUUUUUUCUUGUGAAGGGUGGAACAACGAUUCGUUCCAUGAUUUAUCUCCUGGGUAUAAUAGAACAAUUAAAUUAAUUGCCUCUUUGGUCCGAGUUGAAUAGAAAAGUAACGUUGCCAAAGUUAAUAGACUGUUAGGGUACACUGAAAGGUUCGUGAAUGUUGUUCCUGGUUUCGUUUGUGUUGAAUGGUUGACAUCGAUUUACAGAUUCCUUCGAGGAUAAUAAAAUAAUAUAAUUAGCUUUUAUUUGUUUGAAUAAUGAGGAAGUAUCUGCAAAGUUAUACAGUGGUGGCGCAAUUAGCGUAGUCUAUUGUUGUGGCCGUUUUGGUUACUUUUAUGUUUACAUCGAUUCGUUUCAUAUUUACCUGUCUUGACUAAUGAAACAAUAUAAUUACUUUUGCUUUUGUUCGAUUGGAAUAGAAAAAAGUAUCGUUGCGCAAAGUUUUAUAUGUGUAGGCGGCAAUGUAGUAGUCUAAUGUGGUUCUGGUUUUGGUUUUGUGAGGUUAAACGAUUCGAUCAUAUUUACCUCUUUGGCGUAAGUUGAACAAUUUAAAUUACUUUUGCUCUUUGUUCGUGAUUGAAUUAGAAUAGUAUCAUUGCAAAGUUUUCUGUGGGCACAAUGAAAGUUAUGUUGUUCGGUUUUAUCCUUGUGACGUUUAGCAGCGGAUUCAUUCAAAUUUACACUCUGGGGGUCAUAAUAAAAUAGUGAAAUUUUCUUUACUCUUUGUUCGGAUUGAAUGAGAAAUAGUACUCGUUGCAAAGUUAUACUCUUAUGGCUACAAUGAUUGUAGCUAAUGUUGUUCCGGUUUAGUUUUAUAUGAAGGUUGAAAUCGAUUCUGUUCAAAUUUGCAUUCUGGGGCAUAAUUGACAAGUUAAUAUAGGUUUUUACUAGUUGUUCAUUUGAAUGCGAAAUAGGUACUCGUGUGCAAUUUGUAUACUUGUUAGGGCGCAAAUGUGGUAGUUCUAAUGAUGUUCGAUUUUGUUCUUGUGAGCGUUGACACGAUUUCGUUCCGUAUAUCACUCUCUUGGUCAUAAUAGACAAUAAUUAAUUUUGCUUUUGUUGAUGAAAUAAGAAAAGUAUCGUUGCAAAGUAAAUACUGUUUAGGAGCACAUUGAGAAGUCUAUGUUGUUCCGGUUUCUGUUUUUGAAUGUUGAUCAUGAUUCAUUCACAAUUUACACUUGAGGCAUAAUAGAACAUAUAAUUAACUUUAUGUUUGUUCGACUGAAUAAGAAAAGAUCGUUGAAAAGUUACACUUGUUAGGGCCGAAUGAUAAUCUAUGUUUGUUCCGUUUUGUCUGUAGAGGUUACAUUCGAUUCGUUCCUAUUUACUCUCGCGGGUAAUUGAAGUAGUUAUAAUUAUUUUUACUGUUUUCAUUGAAUGAGAAAAAUAUGCCUUCCAAAUAAUAUACUGUUUGGGCACUGAGACAGUGGUCUAAUGUUUAUUUCGGUCGUUUUGUGAAGGUUGACACGAUUCGUUCCAUUAUUUCACUCUUGGGCAUAAGAGAACAAUUAAAUAUAUAACUUUUGCUCUUUGUCGAUUGAUUAAGAAACAAAAAAAAAGUACUCGUUGCAAGUUAUACUGUUAGGGCACAAUGAGAUAGUCUAAUGUUGUUGCCAUUUUGUUUUGUGAUGUUGAUAUCGAUUAAUUCCAAAUUUACUCUGGCAUAAUAGAACAAUAUAUUAGCUUUAAAUCUUUGUUCGAUUGAAUUAAGAAAAUAACUCAGUGGAAAAGUUACUUUUAGGGCGCAAUGCAGUAGUCUAUUGUUGUUCGGUUUUGGUUUUGUGAAGGUUUAAUCGGAUUCGUUUCCAAAUUUUACAAUCUCGGGGCUGAUUGCAACAGGUAUAUUAGGUUUUUACUCGUUGUUCAUUGAAUGAGAAAAAGUAUCGUUGCAAAGUUAUACUAUUUGAGGCGAACUGUUAGUUGUUUCUAAUGUUGUUUCGGUUUUCGUUUUGGAAAGUUGACAACGAUUCAUUCUGUAUUUACCUCUUGGGAUGCAAUAGACAUAAUUAACUGUUUGCUCUUUCGUGUGAGUUUGAAUUAGAAAAGUACCGCUUUGCAAAGUUUUAUGUUAGGCACAAAGAGGUUAAUGUUGUUUGUUUCGUUCUUGUGAAAUGUUGAAUCGAUUUUCAAUUUACACUCCGAGGCUAAUAAAAAUUUAUAAGCUUUUUCUCUUUGUUAGAAUUGAAUGAGGAAGAGUACUCGUUGGCAAGUUAUACCGUGGUGCGCAACUGAGUAGUCUAUUGUAUGAUGUUCCGGUUUUCGGUUCUUGUGUAAGGUUUACAUCGAUUCUUCAUAUUUACAUGUAUAUCAUAUUGACAUAUAAUUAAUUUUGCUCUUUGUCGAGUUGAUAUGAAAAAAGUAUAGUUGCAAAUUUAUUUAGGCGAAUGAGUAGUUAUAUGUUUGUUUGGUUUUAGGUUCUUGUGAGUUGACAACGAUUCGUUCCAUAUUAGACUCUCUGAGGCGUACGAGUACAAUUAUAAUAAUUUUGUCUUUGUUCUAUGUUGAAUGUAGAAGAAAGUUAUCAUUGCAAAGUUAUUUUGUAGGCACAACUGAGAGUCUAAUGUGUCCGGUUUUCGUUCCUGUGACGUUGACUUCGUUCAUUAAAUUUACACCUUCGGGGAUAAUAAAACGUAUAAUUUCUUAUCUUUAUUCGAGUUGAAUAGAGAAAAGUAUCGUUGCGAAAAAGUUUAUCUUAGGGACAAUUGUAGGCUGAUGUUGUUCGGUUUUUAGUUCUUGUGAGUGUUGAGAUCGAUUCGUUACAAAUUUGCAUUCUGGGGGUAAUUGAACAGUAUAAUUGUUUUCGUUAUUCGACUUGAAUGAGAAAAGAGUACUGUUGCAGUAUAUGAGGGCAUCUGCAAACUGUGUCGUCUAUGUUGUUCGGUUUUGGUUCUUGGGGAAGGUGAUAACAUUCGUUCGUUAUACACUCUCUGGGCAUAAAGACAAUAAAAAUUACUUUUGCUCUGUUGUUCGAUUGACUAAGAAAAAAACUCGUUGCAAGUUGUAUAUGUUAGGGCCAUGAGAGCUCUAAUGUUGUUCGCGUUUUAGUUCCUGGUGAAUGUUGACAUCGAUUGUUCAUUGCCAAAUUUACACUCUGAGGCUAAUAGAGACAAUAUAUAGCUUGAUCUUUGUUCGAUUGAUAUAAGAAAAGUAUCGUUGAACGUUACACUUUAGGCGCACCUGGUAGUUGUUGUGUUCCGGUUUUUGGUUUCUUUGUGAAUGGUUGCACGAUUCGUUCCAAAUUUACACUCUCGGGGCAUGAUUUGACAGUUAUAAUUAGGUUUUACUGUUGUUCGAUUGAUGGAAUAAGUACUGUGCCAAGUUAUAUGUUUGGGCGCAAUGAGUAGUCUUGAUGUUGUUUCGGUUUUCGUUUCUUGUGAAGUCGGGACAACGAUUCUUCCAAUAUUUACACUCUCGGGCAUAAUAGAAGAAUAAUUUAUCUUUUGAUUGUUCGAUGAUAAGAAAAAGUAUCGUUCCAAAGUUAUAACUGUAGGGAAAACUGAGAUGUCUAAUGUUGUUCCGGUUGUGUUUUGGAAUCGUUGACAUCGAUAAUUCCAAUUUAACUUCCGAGGAUAUAAAACAACUUAUAGUUACUCUUGUUCGAUUGAAUGAAAAAAUGCUCGUUGGCAAGUAGGGCUAUCAGUGUGGGCGCAACGAGUAGUUAUUGUUGUUCGGUUUUUGAAUUCUUGUAAGUUGACAUCGAUUUUCCUAUGUACACUGUCUGGAAUAAUGAACAAUAUAAUUAAAUUUUGCUCUUUUUCGAUUGAAUAUAAAAGAGUAUACUCGUUGCAAAGUCUAUUAUUUAGCAGGCGGACUGGUAGUUUGUUGUUCGAUGGUUCUUUGUGAAGUGUUGAACAACGAUUCGUAUCCUAUCAAAUCUACUGGAGUAUUGGCAAUUUAUACUAAACUUUGACUCUUGGUUCGAUUGAAUUAAGAAAAAGUAAUCAGUGCAGUUAUCUCUGUUGGGACAAAUGUGAAGUUCUAAUGUUAGUUUCCGUUUUCUUCUUUGUGACGUUGACAUCGAUUCAUUCCAAAUUUACAUCCGGCGGAUCAUAAUAAAAACCGUUAUAUUUUCUUUUACUCUUUGUUCGAUUUUGAAUGAGAAAAGUACUCGUUGAAAGUUUUAUGUUAGCGCACAAACUGAGAGCUUAUGUUGUUCGGUUUUAGUUCCUGUGAAUGUUGUACAGUCGAUUCAUUCGCAAUUUUACAUCUCGAGGAAUAAUGAACAAUAUAAUGAGCUUUAAAUUUUUGUUCAUUGAAUAAGAAAGUACUCGUUUGAAAGUUACAUUUAGAGAACUGUAGUAGUUAUUUUUGGUCCGUUUGUUUUGUGAAGUUGGGAUCGACUCGUUCCAUUACAACUUCGAGGGCAUGAUUGAAUAUUUAGUGUUGCUUACUGCUUGUUGAAUUGAAUGAGAAAAAGUACUCGUUGCCAACAAGUUUAUAUGUUUGGGGCAAUGAGUAGUCUUGAUGUUGUGUUCGAUUUUCGUUUUGUGAAGGUUCGACACGAUGUCGUUCCUAUUACACUUCUGGCAUUAAUAGAACAAAAAUAAUUUUGUCUUGUCGAUUGAAUAGAAAAGUAACUCUUUGUGCAAGUUAUCUGUUAGGCACAACUGAGAAGUCUAAUGUUGUUCGGUUUUAUUUUGUGAAUGUUGACACGAUUCAUUCCAAUUUACACUCUCGGGCUAGGGGGAUAUAGAACAAUAUAAUUAGCUUUUACUCUUUGUUCGAUUGAAUGGAGGAAAGUACUUCGUUGCAAAGUUAUACAGGUGGUGGCGCAAUUGUAGUCUUUUGUCUGUUCGGUUUGUUUUAGGUUGACAUCGUUCUUCAAUUUAACUGUUGGCAUAAUUGAAGCAUGAUAUAAUUAAAUUUUUGCUUUUGUCGAUUGAAUAUGAAAAAGUACUCUUCCCUGGAGUGCAAGUAUUACUGUUGGGCGCAACUGUAGUAGUCUAUGUUUGUUCUGUUCUGGUUCUGUGAAGGAUGACAACAUUCGUUCCUAUUUCACUUCUGGCGUAAUUGAACAAUAUAAUAGCUUCUUUGCUCUUUGUUGAUUGAAUUAGAAAAAAGUCUCAUUUGCAAGUUAUUUGUUAGGCCACAACUGAGAAGCUAAUGUUGUUCGGUUUCGUUCUUGUGACAGGUUGACAGCGAUUCAUUCAAAAUUUACAAACUUUCCUGGGCUUAAUAAACAGUAUAAUUUUUUUUACUCUUUGUUCGAUUGAAUGAGAAAAGUACUUCAUCCAAAGUUAUACUCUUAGGGCAAUGCUAGGCCUAUGUUGUUCCGGUUUUAGUUCUGUGAAGUGUUGAAUCGAUCGUUCCAAAUUUGCCACUUUCGGCAUAAUGAACAGUCUAAUUGGAUUUUUAUCUCGUUGUUUAUUGAAUUGAUAAAGUACUCGUCCGAAGUUAUAUGUUAUGGGACGAGACUGUGUAGCUCUAAUGUUGUCGAUUUUGAGUUUUGUGAGGUUGACAACGAUUUGUUCGUAUAUACAUCUUGGCAUAUAGAAAAAUAAAUUUAACUUUUGUCUCUUUGUUCGAUUGAUAGAAAAAGUACUCGUUGCCAAAUGUAUAUAUCUUAGGCACAAUUGAGAAGGUCUAAUGGUUGUUCCGGGUUUUCGUUCUUAUGAUUUGGGACAUAUGAUUUUCAUUUCACUCUCGAGGAUAAUAUAACACUAUAAUUAACUUUAAUCUGUUGUUCGAUGAAUAAGAAAAAGUAUGUGGAAAUGUUACAUGUUAGGGCGCAAAGCUGAGUAAUCUAUUUGUUGUUCCUGUUUUGGUUGUGAAGCUGUUACAUCAGAUUCGUUCAAUUUACACUCUCAGGAUAACUUGUAACAGUGAUAUUAGGUUUUACUCGUUUGUCGAUUUGAAUGAGAAAAGUAUCGUUGCGAGAGUUAUGGAGCUGUUGGGGCGAAAUGAGCAGAGCUCUAAUGUUAUUUCGGUUUCUUUUGUUGAAGGUUGAAAGAUUCGUUUCCUAUUUACAAUCUCUGCGGAAUGAAUGAACAAUAAUAAUUAACUUGUUGACUCUUUGUUCGAUUGAAUAUAAGGAAAAAGUAUCGUUGCAGUUAUAUGUUAGGGCACAAUGAGAAGUUCUUGGUUGUUUCCGGUUUUUUUUGUGAAUGUUGACAUGUUCAUUCUAAAUUUACUUGAGAUAUAGACAAUAUAAUUAGCUUUAAUCUUUGUUCGAGUUGAAUUAAGAAAAAAGUACUCGUUUGGAAAGUUUACAUGUUAGGCGCAAUGAGUAGUUAUUAUUGUUGUUCCGGAUGUUUUGGUUUUUGAAGUUGACAUCGAUCGUUCAAUUUCGACUCUGGGCAUGAGGAUUUGAAGUAUAAUUAGGUUUUCUAGUUGGUUCGAUUGAAUGAGAAAAGUUGACCUACGUUGCAAUUUACUAUUUGGGAGCAACUGAGUUGUUAAUGUCUGUUGGUUUUCGUUUUGUAGAAGGUUUGACACGAUUCGUUCCAUAUUUGAGUUCUGGCUUAAUGUAGAAAAAUAAUUAACUUUGCUCUUGUUCGUUGAAGUAAGAAAAUUACCGUUUGCAGGGUAUACUGUUUAGGGCGACUGAGAUGUUAAUUGUCUGUCCUGGUUUUUCGUUCUUGUGAAUUGUGAAUCGGAAUUCAUUCCAUCAUUGUACACUUCGAGGCAUAAUAAAAACAAUAUAAUUGUUUACUCUUUGUUCGAUUGAAUGAGGAAAAGUAUCGGUUGAAGUAGGUACAUGGUGGCGCAUUGGUGAUGUGGUCUAUUGUUGUUGGUUUUUGGUUCUUGUAAGGUUGACAUCGAUGUUCGCAUAUUAUGGGGUUGAAUAUAUGAACAAUAUAAUUAACUUUGCUGGUUUUGGUCAGGGUCGUGCGACGCGUGAGGUCCAUAAGUGGAGGAGAAUGAUGAUCUCUUUGUCGAUUGAAUAUGAAAAAGAGCUCGUUUGCGCAAAAGUUAUACGUAGUAGGCAAACUGCAGAGUAGUCAAAUGUUGUUCUGUUUUGGUUGUUGUUGAGGUUGACAACGAUUCGUUCUAUUGUACACUCUACUGGGCCGAAGUUGAACAAUAUAAUUUAACUUUGCUCUGUUGUUCGACGAUUGAAUUAGCAAAUUUACUCAUUGCAAAGUUAUUCUGUUAGGGGCAAAUUGGGAAGUCUAUAUUGUUCGGUUAUUUUCUGGUGCGUUGACUUCGAUUCAUUCCAAUUUACACUCUCGGUGGGCCAUAAUAAUAGUAUAAUUUUCUUUUACUCUUUGUUCGAUGAAUUGACAAAAGGUAUGUUGCAAAGUUUCUCUUAGACAUCAAAUGAGUAGGCAUUAAUGUUUGUUUCGGUUUUAGUUCCUUGUGAAGUUUGACAUCGAUUCGUUCGCAAAUUUGACUCUCGGUAUUGAACAGUUAUUAGUUUUAAUCGCUUAUUCGAGUUGAAUGGAGAAAAAUACUCUUUCAAGUUAUACUGUUUAUGUAGGGCCGCAACGUUGUGUUCGUCUAAUGUUGUUCCGGUUUGGUUUUGUGAAGCGUGAUAACGAUUGUUCCGUAUAUACACUUUGGCAUAUAGACAUAAAAUUAACUUUUGCUUCUUUGUUCGAGUUGAAUAGAAAGAAUUCGUUGCAGAGUUAUACUGUUAGGCAAACUGAGUGUCUAUUGUUUGUUCCGGUUUUGCGUUUUCUUGUUGAAGGUUGGCAUCGAUGCGAUUGUUAAUUUACACUCUUGGAGGCAUGAUUGACGGGUUAUAUUAAGGUUUACUCUUGUUCGUAUGAAUGAGAAAAGUAAUCGUGCAAGUUAUAUUUUGGGCGCAAUGAGUUAGUCUGAUAUGUUGUCGUGUUUCGUUCUGUGAAGGUGGCACGAUUUUUUUCCUAUUUACACUUCUAGGCAUAUAAGAACAAUAAAAGUUAAGCUUUUGUUUUUGUUCGAUUGAUAAGAAAAAGUAAUGUUGCAAGUUUUUACUGCUCUAGGUGUAAUGAGUGUUAAUGUUGUUCUGGUUUCGUUUAGUGUGAAUGUUGACAUCGAUUUCUUCCAAAUUUAACAUUCGAGGCAUAAUAAAUCAUUAUUAAUUAGCUUUACCUCUUUGUUCGAUUGAUAUGAAAAAGUGUCGUUGACAAGUUAUACAGUUGUUGGCGCACUGAGUAGUGCUAUUGUUGUUCAGGUUUGUUUUGUUAAGUUGACGAUCGAUUGUUCUAUUUACACUGUCUGGACAUAAGUUGAACAUAUAAUUACUUUGCACUUUGUUCGACUUGAUAUGAAAAAUUACUCGUUGCAAAGUGUUAUACUUGUAGGGCAACUGGGGUAGUUAUGUUGUCCGGAUUUUGGUUUUGUGAAGGUUGACGCGAUUCGUUUAUAUUUACACUCUUGGGCGUAUUGACAUAUAAUAUAAAUUUUGCUCUUUGUUCGAGUUGAAUUAGAAAAUUUAUCUCAGUGCCAAAGUUUUCUGUUAGGGCAAACUGAGAAGUUCUAAUGUUGUUCGGUUUCGUUCUUAGUGAGUGCUCGAUUCAUUCAAAUUUACACUCUAGGGGGUAUAAUAACAGUUAUAAUUUUCUUUUCUUUGUUCGAAUUAAUGAGAUAAAGUACUGUUGCAAAGUUAUAUUUCUUAGGUCAAACUGAGUAGCCUAAUGUUGUUCGGUUUUAGUUUUGUGAGAAGCGUUGACAUGAUUGUUCAAUUUGUCACACUCGGGGCCAUAAUUGAAAGUAUAAUUAUGGUUUAUGUUGUUGCGAUGUUGAAUGAGAAAAAGUAUUCGUUGCAAGAUUAUACUGUGUUGAGGGGCAAACUGUGUGUCUAAUGUUGUUUCGGUUUUGUUUUUUGAAGGUUGAUAACGAUUGUUCCGAUUAUACACGUCUUAGCAUAAUCGAACAAUAAUAACAUUUUGCCUCGUUUGUUCGAUUGAUAAGAAAGAAGACUUCGUUGCAAAGUUAUACAUGUUAGGGCAACGAUGGGGAGAGCUCUAAUGUGUGCUUCGAUUUUCGUUUCUGUGACUUGUGAAUCUGAUUAUUACACAAAUUUGACACUCUCGAGGCAUAAUAGAACAAGUUAUAACUAGCUUUAAUCUUUUUUUCGACUAAUAAGAAAAAGUACUCGAUUGAAAGUUACACUGUUAGGGCGAAACUGAGUAGUUAUUGUUGUUCCGGUUUUAGGUUCUUGUGCAAGGUUGCAUCGAUUCGUUGUUCAAAUUUUCACUCUCGGCGGCAUGAUUUGAAAGUUAUAAUUAGGUUUUUAUUGGUUUCUGCGUUGUUCGAUUGAAUGAGGAAAGUACUCGUUGCCAAAAUUAACUAUGUUGGGCGCAAAUGAUAGUUUGCGAUGUUGUUCGGUUUUGUUUUGUGAAGGUUGCAAACUUCUUUCCAUAUUACACUCUUCUGGGGGCAUAUUAGAACAAUAAAUUAAUUGUGCUCUUUGUUUCGAUUCAAUAAGGAAAGUCUGUUGCAGAGUUAUACGUUGGGCACAACUGGAAGUUAAUGUUGUUCGGUUUUCGUUCUUGUGAAUUUGACAUGAUUCAUUCCAAAUUUAAACUGCGGGAGGCAUAAUAAAUAAUUAUAUGUUUUACUCUUGUUCGAUUGAAUGAAAAAGUGCUCGUUGAAAUGUUAUACAGUUGUGGCCUGCAAUGGGUAGUUAUAUUGUUGUCCGAUUUGGUUCUUGUUGAAAGUUGACAUCGAUUCGUUUCCAUAUUUCAAUGUCUGGACAUAAAUUGAACAUAUAAUUAACUUUGCUCGUUGAUUCGAUUGAAUAUGAAAGUAUAGUUGCAAAGUUAUAUGUGUUAGGGCGGAACUCGGUAGUCUAAUGUUGUUCGUUUUUGGUUUUGUGCAAGUGGUUGACAACGAUUCGUUCCAUUAUUUACACUCUCUGGGCGUAACUGAACAAUUAAUAAACUUUUAGCUCUUUUGUCGUUGAAUUAUGAAAAGUAACUCAUUGCCAAAAGUUAUUCUGGUUAGGCACAGCUUGAGAAGUCUAAUUGUUGUUCGGUUUCGUUCUAUAAAGUGAAACGUUGAUAUCAUUAUUCAAAAUUAACACUCUCGGGGCAUAUUUACAACAGCUAUAAUUUUCUUUUACUCUUUUGUUUCGAUUGGGGGAACAUGAGAAAAAUUAUCGUUGCAAAGUUAUAUUCUUUAGGACAACGAAGUAGUCCUAAUGUUGUCCGGUUUUAGUUUUGUGACGUGACAUCGAUUCGUUCCAAAUUUGCACUCUCGCGGGCAUACAGUUGAACAGUUAUAAUUAGUUUUUUACUCGUUGUUCGAUUGAAAUGAGAAAAGUACUCGUUGCAAAGUUAUUACUGUUAGGUCGGCAACUGGUAUGUCCGUCUAAUGUUGUUCAACUAGUAACCACCGAAAUCAGACACCCCGAAGAAACACAUUUGGAUACCUAGAAAUAAAUUUUAUUAUUUUUGCUUCAUUCAGUUGCACUAGUAUCGAGAUGAGCCUCAAAUCAAAGAAUUUCAAUGGUUCGAGUGAAGCGUUUGCAAGUUUAAACGGUUAGAAAUAUUCCAAAUCACGUAGAAUUUUGAUAGAAAUUCUUUAGACUAAUAUAAAACAAGAUCAAUAUUGCUUUGAUUUAAGUUGUUUUAAUGUCAUAUACUUUAGCUUUUGUAGAGAUUUUAUUUUUAGCCGGUCUGAUUUGAGCCCUUGUUUCAUAGGCAAAUGAUAUCGUAGAUAUAUAAAUUUUUGUUCUAGGUACUUCAAAUUUAGAUCAAAGUUUAACGGAGCGAUGCGAUCGAAAGUCACAAUAUCGAAACGAGGUGGAAGCGAACGGACGCUCCCGAUAGUGCGACAUAGUAGCUCACGCAUAGAGUGAGGCUAUAUGAGUGAGCGUUACUUGCUAUGGAAGCCACGGGAGCUUUGUGCUUCCAAUUCGUUUUCGAUGAUGGAGUUUACUUAGAUCGCACGAUCGGCUCGUUAACUUGAUCUAGGUAUUUGAAGUUUGUAGAAAUAAUUUUUCCGGAUGUUUUUUGAUUCAUUUACUAGCGAUCGGAAAAUAAUUCAAAUCAAUAAUUUUAACGGCUGGAAAUAAAAUCCUAUAAAGGAGAUGGUGAUAUAGUACUAAAUUUACUCGAUCAGGAAAUAUUGAUUUGUUAUAGAUAGUAUAAAGGAAUUGUUGUAUCAAAAUUUCAUUGAUUUUGAUAUACAAUCUAUACCGGUUAAGACUUGAAACAGACAGAUAUUACAUUAAAAAUUUAUGGUAUUUGAAUUCUUUCGUAUCAUAGGUAAAUGAUAUCAAAAAAUUGCCAAAAAUUAUUUUUUUGAAACUUCAAAUGAGCUAGAUCAAGUUAACGAAGAAGAUGCGUUUCGAAAAUUUUAUCAUUGAAAUGGACCCUAUGGAGCACGGAGGCCUCCGUACUCCGGACGAGAGCACAGCAGUACCAUGCUCUCUCUCUUUCUCUCUUCUUCUCGUCUCGCUUCAUCUCUAUUCUUUGAUGAUGUAUAUAUAUAUAUAUAUAUAUAUAUAUAGGGUCCGGCUACUAUACUAUUAUGAGUACGAUUGCCCUCAUACUCAUAAGUUGUUUUCGAUGAUAGAACUUCCGAAUCGACGAUCCACACCAUUAAACAUUAUUUACAGCAUUUAAAACUUCUAGAAAUCAAAUUUUAUAAUUUUUCGACAUCAUUUACCUUACGAUCAAGAGGUCACAAAUUUGACAAUUUUUAACAGCCGGUAUGAAAUACUUGCUAGUUUAACGAUGUAAAAGAAUCAAAAUUUAUUGAAUUUUUGAUAGAAAAUUUUAUUCACUAUAUAGAUAAAGAUCAAAAAGUAGAAUUUGACUUCAGAUCUCAUAGUCCAGAGCAAAAGUAGGGAUGUUGACGUAGGUCUAACCGUAUUGAGAGAAAAAAAAAAAAAGUGUUAGGACGAAAAAAAUAUACGAAGAAUAUAAUUUUUUGUCUGAAACAAAAAUUUAUUAAUUAAUUUUAAAAAUUAGCUAAUACCUAAACUCUACUAUAAUUAAAAAUGAUAAAUUUUAAUAUAUCUCUAAAUCUAUCAUAAAUAGUUCAAUAAUCGAACUUAAAGUAAAAGGAUAUAAAACUUUUCAAAAAUAAUUUAAAAUGCAAAAACGAAUGCCUAAACAAUUGAAUUUGAAUUUCAAACUCGGUCAACGCGUAGAUUUCGAAACGUNACCAUUCACCGUGUCCAAUACAAAAAUCUUGUAUUGAACACGGUGAAUGGUUCACCGUGUUCAACUUAUACAAUUGGCCCAGCCCCGCCCGCGUGGCGCUGACGUGGCGCUGACGGGGCGGGGCCAGGGCCAUUUUUGCAAAUAAUUUUUACACAGGGCUAUUUUCGAAAAUAAAAUUUUUUAUGGGACUAUUUGCAAAAAAAGCCCAUGCAGAAAUCUAAUCUGCUCGGUAGCAGAAAAUGUAAAAGAGAGCUUUGCUCCUAUCAAAAGAAUGGCAUUUUUAACUUAUUUGUUCUUUAUUACUAUUCAAAAGUUUUAAAUUUAUUUUAAAAUUAUCCAAAUAAUUUUUUACAAUCUAAUCUCAUUACUAAAUCCCAGAAAAAAUAGAGAUAUUUAAAAGAAUUUUUUAAAACUAAUAAAAUAUUUUUAAAAUUUUGAAGGACAUAUUAAAUAUUAUUCCUAAGGCAUCGUUUGAUUGAGGCAUAACGGAGGGAAUAAGCUCUUAUCCCCUCAUUUAUACCCAAACAUAAUUUUAAAAUACGGGAGCAACAGAAGGUUAGAACUGUUGUUCCAUCUUUUUUUCUGAAACAAGCGAGAACAAGUUUAAUUAAAAUCUAAAUUUAAUUUUAAUAAUAGUAUUAAAUUAUUAAUUAAUCAAAUUAAUAUAGUUAAAUUAUUACCUAUUGCUUAAAUAAUAAAGUAAUUAAUUAAUUUAUUAUUUAUAAUUAAUUAGCUAAUUAAACAUUAAUACUUUAAUGCGUUUAUCCAUAAAUUAAUAAAUAUUUAUAUUUAUCAACCAUUAAUAUUUUUACUAAUCUAGUUAAUUUCUUUGCUAAUUAUCUAACUAAAAUAAUUUACUAACUAAUUAAAAAGUUAAAUUAUUGUUUAUAUUUAAUUAAUUAAAUAAUAUAUUUUCACUAUCUUAUGCAAUAUUCAUAGCUAAUAAAUGUAUUAAUUUAUUAAAUUAUUUUUAAUUAAUAUUUUGAUGUUAAUUAAUUUGAUAAAAUAUUUUUAAUUUAAAAUUAUAAAUCUUAUUCCCUCUGUUCCAAUCAAACCAUCCAAACACUAUUUACCUUAUUUUCAAAAACAAUCUAAUUUUUAUCCAAAUACAAAAUUAAUCUAGUCCUGCUUAAAUCUGAAUUUGUAUCUAUUUUUGAAAUAAGCAGUUCUUACUUAUACGCGAACCUACGCGAACCAAAUGUAGUCUAAAAAAAAAGUAUGGCUAGAAUUUACUAUUUAAGUGAAUAAUAGAUACUUCUAAAAAAGUAUCAUAGCUCAACUUCGUUAUUAUUUAUUAAACAAUAGUUUUGGAAAUUUUAAUUGAUUUAUGUUGGUACAGAAAAUAAAGGGAUAUAUUUAUUUAUUAUUUACCAUCAAGUUCUAGAUGGAAAUAGCUAAAUAUUUAAUGCAUUUGAGAGAACAUAAGAAAUUUCCUCCAUCCUAAUCCGUAGCCAAAUAUUCCGCAACAAAAAUCACAAGCUGGAUAAAUUACUGAUUAAUGGUGAGAUUUUCUUUUCUUCGAUCUUAUAAAUCCUGACCAUAUCCUCGCAAAAAAUUAUAAUUUAAUAACAACUCAGAUUGAAAUAUGAGAUGAAAUGGAAAAAGAACCUGACGCAGUGGACUAGUAGAAGGUGGAAUUGUGACUGCCUGCAGAAAUCAAGAAAUGCCUCCAGCAUUCAUCUGGAAUGAGAUUGCAACCAAAUUACUAGAAAGCAGUACAGCAGUCAGAUGAUUAGUUCCAUCACCAGAAAGCAACUCAUUUUCAGUCUCCAGUAAGAUGCCAAAUAAAAUGAUUUCUACUUUAUUUUGAAGGUACUAAAAUCAUUGCAGAGUAUCCUAGGCAAGUAGACAAAACAGAAACAUUCCAAUCAAGGCACAUCCAGGAUACCUUGGAUCCACUCAAUGUGCACAAAGAAAAAAGAAAAGAAAAGAAAAGAAAAGAAAAAACAAUAGAAUGAAUCUAACUACGGGAGCUAAAUGUGAUUUCAUAGUCCGGCGGAAACCAGACCAUGCAGCGUGACGAUCCCAAUCACGAUGUUCCUGUCAUCGACGACGGGCAAGAACUGCACGGCGGAAGGUGGGGACUCCAUUUUCUGCAUAGCUUCCACCGCCAUUGCAUCGGCAGUGAUUGUUCUGGGGCUUCUGCCGAAAAAAAGGAGAAGGGCAUAAGAUUACACGGAAGCCAUAUUGACAGGCGAUUAGUCCCUGAUUGCAUCUAUAAUGAUCCGGCUAUCAUGGAGCCUCAGAGGGGCAAGAUUAGCAUGCUGCAACACGAGGAUGGUGAUAUACAUUUGACAUGGAGAUUUACCACUGAGAGUUGAUGAAUAGCUGCGGACCAUAGCAAGCUUUAUCUCUGAAUAUCUUAAAAGGUGAGUUGUUGAAGAUGCGGCAAAAAGUUAUGAGGCUUUUAUGUCCUCAAAACUUCACAGGGAAAGAAUUAGAGUAAGAAAAAUGAAAAAAACCAACAGCCAAAAACUCGAAAAUAACUUGCUCAAUCUUAAAAGGCGAUGCAGAAAUGCUCUAUAUUUAUGAUAUAUCCACACAACAGUUGCACUCAAUCAAGUCUCCUACUUAAACUUCAAUAGUGACCCAGACAUUUGCGAUUCUGUACAUCUUCAUGGAAGUUUGGGCAUUUGGCAUAUGUUAACUUGAUUUAAGGAUUGGAGAAGUGACAAGCAUACAAAUGAGAUUGCAUUUGCAGUGCAUUGCUUCCUCAAAAAUCGCAAUCUUUUUUUUCACAACAGACCUUCAUUUAACUCCAAAGACUAAAUUUGAAUGCUCUCCAAGGAGGUGAAAGAGAAGAAAAUCCCACCCAAAAGAGAAAGGCUAACAAGUGAGAGGGACAGGUUUGCGAAGAAACAAGAGGGAUUUAAUGGAAGAGAACCAUAACCGCUAAACGCAAAGAGAAUCUGGUAAAAUCUUCAGUGGCUUGUUAUUAGGUUAUUUAUAUGGAGCGUAACAACAAUAGCCUAUGCACAGCAGAAUUAGGAUAAAAAUAAGGGAGCAGCUGCACCUGUUAGGUAGGAGAUUAGAUCUCGGAGGGUCAAGUGCAGCAGGAGUCAGAGAAGGGAGUAGCCAAAGUUAAAAUAUAUGAAUUCAGCUGCGUGAAAGGAUGAAAUAAGGGUUGAAAUUUGCAAGAGAUAAAACAGCAGCAAACCAUUCUGAAAAUGCAGUAAUCAGCUGGAAAACUAUUCAAAACAACCAGCAGAAGUCAAUCAGACUCCCUUUUGCAGAUCAUAAAAAUAACAACCCUUCCCCCCCACCUCUAGGGAUUGAAAGCCCCCAUCUGACAUUAAUAUCACAUAUAAAUCAACAGAAACAAAACUACCAACUAAUUAAACUUAAAAAAUUCAACAUAUCCUAACCUAAGCCCAGCCAAACCCAUAUAAGUUUGGACAAUGCCCGUACUAUAGAAUGCAGAAGAAAAAGAUUAAAUUGGAACUGCCCUGCAGGCAGAAUAUAAGCUAUUACACUCGUCUGGAUCGGUCUGGAUCAUGCGUCAUUUCAGAAAUCUGAAGAAUAUUAAUAUAUCCAUUAAUUGGUAUCUACCGUAAAGCAAACAUGUGCGUACCUGUUGCACAUUUCACCCACAGUCAGAUUGAAUAUCGCUGCACCACUAGCCUUGAGUGUACGUCGCAGGUCUCCAUCUGUGAAGGUGCCAAUCAGAUGGUACUCAUCAUCAACAACAAGCAAACAUCCGCAACCUUUACUCGUCAGCUCCGUAAGCUGGUCCAUUAUCAUAUCUCCCUCCUUGCUUAUGGGAAGAUCUUCCUUCUUCUUCAUGACAUCUUUUACCUGCAUCGUAAAUUUUGAGUUCACCACAUCAUAAAUUUUGAUUGACCUUACCAGAGUGCUGUGGGUACCGAUUUACAUUAAUGUAUCAAAAGGAAUCAAAUAAUAGGAGAGCAACUACCAAACAUAUUUGAAAGACCUUAACUAGAAUAUAAAGAAGACAAGAAGGGCAUGUUGUCUCUAUAUAAUUAUAUUGAACGCAUUUACUGAAGCAUAAAUAAAGUAAUAAACCCAACUAGAAGGGUUUAUCUUACACAAUAAGAAGAAAAAACCAAUCAUUGAAAGAGAACAAUAGUAAACUUAUUAAAGAAUCUAGAAAACAUGAUUAAAGUUAAUUAAGAUGCUCCAAAAUCCGAUUUAGCAGAUAUCAGCAGACCCACAGAAAACCUCCUACACUCAUGCAGAAGCCAGAAAACUAGACAUAGCAAUAACAGAUCUAGAAUUAAAAUCCGUAAGGAGGAGAAACAAGACAUGGAGCAACCACAAGAUAAUAUCUACAACAAUUUAUCAAAAUUCACCCCUAUAUUACUCUUUUUGUUCCCAAAAUCCACGAAGCAUUUGACAAAGAAGCCGAUAAAAGAAUUCUGGAUCAUGCCUCAAACCCAAGUCAUCUUGGUCUAAAUUUUAUAGUUCCACUCAAAAAGAGAAAAAUUGAUGGAAAAUUACACGAAUCCAAGUAGGAUAGUGCAAUGUAGGAUCGAUGUGGCCACUCACUUGAAAGAUGAGGCUCUUCACCCCUACAUUACACUCUUUACCCUUAAAAUCCAUUAAGAAUUUACUGAAAAAAAAGGCCGAUUACAAGCGCUUCUAGAUCAUCCCCUAAAGAAACCUACAUCUUCCCAGUCAAAAUUACAUAAGUUCAUUCAAAUAGAGAAAAUUUGAGGAAAGAAGAGAACAUAAAGAUGAGACUCUUCCUGAUCUUAACGGCAAGGUGUUUUGCAGCGUACUGGUCCCUCGUGAAGCUCCUACAUUAUGCUCUAGUAGAAAUUCUCAAAAUGCAACCCUACAUUACUCUUUUAACCCCCAAAAUCCAUUAAAUGCGCUUUUAGAUCAAUCCCUAAAGAACCACACAUAAUCCUAAUGUAAAUUAUACAAUGUCAUUCAAAUAGAGAAAGAUUGAGGGAAGGAGAGACCUUGAAAAUGAGGCUCUUGCUGAUCUUGCUGGCUGGGUGCCCCUACAUUACUCUCUAGUAGAAAUUCUCAAAUUGCAUCCCUACAUUACUCUCUUUACUGUUAAAAUCGAUUAAAGGCGCUUCUAGCUCAUGCCCUAAAGAAACCUACAUAAUCCUAAUCUAGGUUAUGCAAAUUUCAGUCAAAUAGAGAAAAAUUGAGGGAAGAAGAAACCUUGAAGAUGACACUCUCAGCGAUCUUCCUGGCAGGGUGCCCAUACAUUACUCUCUGGUAGUAAUUCACAAAAUACAACCCCCCACAUUACUCUCUCUACCCCCAAAAUCAAUCAAAAGAAUGCUGUAAAGAAACCUACAUCUUCCUAAUGCAAAUUAUACAAAUUUCAUUCAAAUAGAGGAAAAUUGGUGGAAGAAGAGAGACUUUGAGGAUGAGGCUCUAGCCAAUAUACGGCAGGGUGUUUUGCAGCGUACCGAUCCGUGGUGAGGCACCUACAUUACUCUCUACUAGAAAUUCUCAAAACGCACCCUUACAUUACUCUCUUUUCGCUGAAAAUGCAUCAAGAGCACGCCCUAAAGAAACCUACGCAAUCCUACUCUAAUUAUACAAUUUCAUUCAAAUAGAAGAAGAUCGGUGGAGGAAGAAACCUUGACGACGAGGCUACAUUACUCUCUACUAGAGAUUCUCAAAAUGCAACCCUACAUUACUCUCUUCACCCCCAAAAUCCAUCAAGAGCACGCCCUAAAGAAAUCUACGCAAUCCUAAUCUAAACUAUACAAAUCUCAUUCAAAUGGAGGAAAAAAAAUUGGUGGAAGAGGAAGAGAGACCUUGAAGAUGAGGAUACAUUACUCUCUAGUAGAAAUUCUCAAAAUGCACCCCUACAUUACUCUCUCUACCCUCAAAAUCCAUCAAGAGCAUGCCCUUCCUAAUCUAAAUUAUACAAAUUUCAUUCAAAUGGAGGGGGAAAAAAAACAAGAAUUUAAAUUGAGGGGAGGGAGAAGAAGAGAAGAGAGACCUUGAAGAUGAGGCUCUUGCCGAUCUUGCCGGCGGGGUGGUUGGCGGCGAGCUGGUCCCUGGUGAGGCGGCGCGCGGCCAUGACGGCGGCGACGACGGUGUCGACGAAGAGCAUCUGCAGCGCGGCGGAGGUGAGCGGGGCGAGGCCGAAGGGGCAGAGCUCGCGGAGGAGGGGGAGGUGGACGACGCCGCGGUCGCAGAGCGCGGCGAGCGGGGAGCGGGGCGCGGAGGUGAGGGCGAGGAGCGCGGCGCCCUUGGCGCGGGCGCAGGGGGCGAGGGCGAGGAGCUCGUCGGAGGCGCCGGACUUGGAGAGGAGGACGAGGAGGUCGCCGGGGAAGAGGGCGCCGAGGUCGCCGUGGAGGGCGUCGACGGGGGCGAGGAAGGACGCGCGCACGAGCCCGAGCGACGCGAGGCUCUGCGCGAGCUUCCGCGCCACGAGCCCGGACUUGCCGACGCCUGAGAAGAAGACGGCCCCCGGCGCGUCGACGAGCGCCUGCGCGAACGCCGCCGCCUCCGAGAGGUCGAGCCGCUCGAAGAAGUGGUCGAGUAUCCCCCUCUGCGUCUCGAACAGCGCGCCCAGCUCCCCCUCCGUGAUCUUCGCCGGAGACGACGACGACGACGACGACGACGAGGGAAGGGGAGGAGGGAGAGAGCCCAUGAUUAUUACUAUUAUUACUAUUACAAAGAUGAUGAUCCUUCUUUUUUUUCUUAUAUAUAUAUAAAGAAAUGUUUAGAAUGGCGGAGGAGGAGAAAAGGGGAAAGGAGAAGGGGGAAGGGGGAGGGAAGGAGGGGAAAGGCGCCGUGGGGGAUAUAAUUGAUAGCCUGCCAGCCGGGGGAGAUCCGAUGCACGGGCAGAAGUGUCAAAAAUGUGGAAAUCGAGAGGGGGGAAAGACGGACGGGAUGUAAUUGCAUGGACUGACGUGACAGGCGGGACCGGCCCGCACUGAACCGGCAGCUUCCGAAAUUAAUAAGAUAAUAAUAAUAAAAAUAAAUAAAAAUGCAGAAAGUUAACCUCUUUUUUUAGUUCUUUGAAUAAAAAUGGUAGUUAUUGAACUAAAAUUCAAUAAUAAUGAAUAGUGGGGAGGUAACAAUUAAUAGAGUAUAGAAGAAACUAUAUGCUUUUCUCAAUUAUCUCCUCAUGAAUUUCAAUACUCAUAGAUGCACAUAAGCGAUUCUGAAAUCUCAAUACCUCUGAGGCAUCAAGGCUGCUUCCCACUUCUCUCUAUUGGUCCUUUCUUCUUCUUCUUCUUCUCCUUUUUCCAUAUAUCUACCUCCUUCUUCAUCUCUACCGCGGAUGCACAUAAGCCAUCUCAACUCCCAAGUCUCGACGCGGUGUAUCAACAUAGUAUUUUUGUCGACUCUGGACAGUCUGCAAAUGUUUCGAGUAAUUCCAACAUUUUAUUUUGUUUCCACUAUAAUAUCUGGACCCAGAGAUUUUCUCUCAUCCACCUUACUCCAAAUAUUCUAGAUUCUGAUACCAAUUUAAUCUGUCACGUCCCGAAUUACAGCGGGCGACAGAUCUGUUGACGUAACCCAGACUUUCACUGUAAUUCGGAGCGUAACACACCAUCUAAUUUAGUUGGAUAAAUAUUAACAAAUUAUUGAUGUAUAUUCUAGGAAAUACAUUCAUCCUAGAACUACUCUAAUUUUAGCAUACUUAAAUCUCUUAACCUCUUAGGUAUAAAUAUUGCCCAAAAUGAUAUAACCAAGUUAAAAAGUUUUAUCGUACUAAAGACUAUUCCAAAUUCUAGGAUUGUCACAAAAAAUUAGAAUAAUAAUUAUAAUGUUACCUCAUUUCUAUAUUAAAAAUUCGGCAAAUAUUUAGCCAACUAAAUAAGAUUAUAGAGCUUAAUUGUAACAAUUCUGAAAAUUUAAACUAAAAAUUAUAAUAAAUUAAAGUUUGAGGAUUAAAGUAUUUCGUCUAGUUUGAAGACUUAAAAGUGUAAUUUAUCCUACUAAUAAUAAUAUUAUUUGUACACCAAUAUAUAAGUAUAGAUAUAAUAUAUGGAAACCAAUUAAAGUUUAUCUUUAGUUUUAUAAAAUGAACCAAACAUAAUAAUUAUAUAUAUACUGUAUUUCAGCAUUAUUUACUGUAAUAAACCAAAUGCAGGAAUACAAUAUAAGUAGUAAUCUGAUUUAGAAAUCUCAGAUACAUGAUUGUAUCAAAAUAACCAGCAAUACUACAUAACACAAAGCAAACGCGCCUUUAAAAAUAAAGUAUUAAUUAAAAAACAUUAAAGUUGAGGGAUAAUUUGAGAAUACCGUAUAGAGGAAGGGUUUCCUUUCACUUUUGCCAACUUUAAAUAAAUGAAGUGCACGCUUUAAUUCAUGUUACCAUUAAAGUAUGAAGCUUAUAUCUUUCCUUUGGAGGAAGAAGAGUGUACAUGUCACAAAUAAAAUUUAAAUUCUUUAUUAUUUCAAAUAAAGUGAAAGCAUAAAACUCCAUAAUUUCACAAGCACUUGACCCUUUAACUUUAAGAAAUAUUACUUAAAUUAGAAACAUAUAUCUUUCUCUAAUUAUGUCAUUGUACUUUUUAAUAAAAUAUUAUCCUUUUAAAUCUAAAAGUGUAGUAUACACUUUAUUCAUCCAAAAGUUGAAAGAAACUCUUUAAAUUUUUAAUAUGAAAUUAAUUAAGUUGUGAUAAGAUUUAUGUUAGAAAAAUGAAUCUUGGGUAGGUGGGGCGUAAAAUUUAUAUUUACUUUUGAAUAUGCAAAUAAUAUUAAAACAAGAUUAAUUAUGAUUGAGCAAUAAUACAUUUAUAUAAAUUUUAUAUUAUUUUAAAAAAAAUACUACAUUUACACCCUCUUAAGCAGUGUACAUCUUACACUCUACCGUUUAGUUCAGGGUUAAGAAAAAACUAGUUAUUCCAGGGAUAGGAUUAAGUUUAGGGUUAAGGUGGGGUUAGAGUAUUUUUGUGUUUGGUUGGGGGUUAGAGUUAAGCCAGGAUAGUGAAAAAUAGUGUUUGGUUGGAGUAGGUUGGGAUAAGAAGGAUAGUAAAUUAUUAUGAAUAGAAAAUAGUGUUUGAUUGGGGUUUGGUGAGGUUAGGUGGGGUUAGCUAACCCGGAAUAACCCAUUUGGGGUGGGGUUAGCUGGGGUUAGCUAACCCCACCCAUUUUUAGAAGUGUUUGGGGAUAAAAUCAUCUAUUUUUAAAAGUGUUUGGGGAUAAAAUGGGGGUUAAGGGGUUAUUCCACCCCUUAACCCCCAACCAAACGGAGAGAAUCCUAGGAUUUAAAAAUCUAUUUAGAUUUUCAAUAAGUAAAAAUAUUAAUAAGACUAGUGGAUAAAUUCUAGUCACACAAAAGUCUAAGAUAUAAAAUUUAUACCUCUUUUUCUAAUGUACAAAUAGCAUUGUUCUUCAUUUUAUAUAAAAACAGUAAAUUUUUCUGUCAAUCUUAUUAUUUUUCUAAUAUUGUAUUAUUAUUACUAUUAUUAUUAUUAUUAUUAUUAUUAAUAGUAAUAAUAAUACAAUAUUAGAAAAAUAAUAAGAUUGACAGAAAAAUUAUACCUCUUUUUCUAAUGUACAAAUAGCAUUGUUCUUCAUUUUAUAUAAAAAUAGUAAAUUUUUCUGUCAAUCUUAUUAUUUUUCUAAUAUUGUAUUAUUAUUACUAUUAUUAUUAUUAUUAUUAUUAUUAUUAGGCUAAAUUACAUAAAAUUUUCCGUCAAAACCCGAUUUUUCACUUUCCCCCAAUGUCAUUUAAAAACCUACACUUUGCCCCCCUGUAAAAUGAAAAGUAUUCACAGGGAGGGAUACAAUGUGUAAAAUGACCAUUUUGCCCCUAACCAUUUUCGUCUCCUCUCCUAUUUUCUUCAACAGCAGCCUCGAUCGGCUGCGAUUUAAGCCUCAAUCGGCUGCGAUUUCUCUCUAUUUUCUUCUCCACUUGCUCCUCUCUCCUCCUGCACCCUCGCCGUCCUUAGAUUUCGGCGACCGUAGAGUGGAAAUCGAGGUGGGGGUGGAUGGAGAGAUGGGUAACGGCAACGAGAGCGAAGGCGAGGCGGCGGAGGAGGGCGAAUGGGUGUUUGUGGGCGCAGACGGGGAUGUGGGCGUGGGCGAGGGCGAGGCAGUGGAGGAGGGCGAAGCGGGAAGGCGGCAAGGUGGCAAAGCAACAAGAGAAAGAGCGGAGGGGUAUUUUUGGUAUAAAAAAAUAUUUUUUAACGGACCCCUAACGGAUCACUAACGGUAGGGAGCAAAGUGCACAUUUUUUAUUUUACAAGAGGGCAAAGUGUAGGUUUUUAAAUGACAGGGGGAAAAAGUGAAAAAUUAUGUUUUGACAGGGAGAUUUUAUGUAAUUUAGCCUUAUUAUUAUAGAAGUAUUUGUAGCACUGGACAGGAUAGUCACUAAUUAUAAUAAUAUGUGAGCAUGUCUCUUGUGGUUAAUAAUUGAUUCCAUUAGGUAUAAUCAAUGAAUUAUUUAGAAACUAAAUUGUAUAAUUUUUUAAUAUUAUUUAUCAAGUGAUCAAAGCAUCUCAGAAAGUGACUAUUUUAGUGGCCGAUUGCGUUUGUAAGUUCAAUAGUGUAGAAUAAUUCAAAGUGGAUGAAAUCUUAAUUUUUUUAAAAAAAAUCUAUUUACUAUCAAGAGCAAAAUCAUGUCUUUCAAUCUGAAAUUUAAUUCUUCUAUUACUAUUUUUAUAACAUUUUUAUUUUCAGCCGUUUAACUUUAGACUAUUCGUUUACUAAGCAAAUGUAGUUGAAAAAUUAUAAAAUUUUAUUUCUAAAUAAUUCCAAUGCAGUAAAUUAUUUCUAGCAAAAUCGAUCGCCACCUCAGAUACCUAAUUAUCAAAAAUAAAGUUUUUUUUUUUGAGAGAAAGGUAGCAUGCUACCCGCUUCGUUUAUUUCAUUUAGAAAUAAACUUAGCUGGAAAUGUGAAUCAACUAGGAUUCGAACUUGGGUCUCGGAUACUAACCACCAAGUCCUUUGCCACUUGCUCUGGGGACAGUCGGUAAUCAUAAAAAAUAGAGUUAAUUUUAUAUAGCUCCCUGUAAACAUAUUGAAUAGCAAUUAUAUUUCUAUAAAGUUCAACUUUUCAUAUUUAUCCUGCAAAAGUUCAGUAAUAUUCAUAUUUGUCCCUCUGAUUUAUUAAUGUUGGAGUACUGUUUAUUUUUAACAGAGAAUAAAUAAAAUGACAUUUUUGCCGUCACAAAUAUGUCCCUCCAAAAUUCUCAACUGUUAAAAUUUUGCAAAAAUAUCCUUUCUGCCAUCGCAAAUAAUAUAAGAGGGGUAACAAUGUCAAUUUACCUAAUUCACUAAUCAAGGUUAAAUAUUUUAUCUAUGGUUAACUAUAUUUUUCUAGCGGAUCCUAACAGUAGGGAUAUAUUUAAAAAUAUUAGAACUUUUGCAAAUACAAAAAGUUAAACUUUAUAGAGAUAUAUAUACUAUUUAAUAUAUUUACAAAAAGCUGUAUGUAAUUAAUUCUUAAAAAUAAUUUAACAGUACGAAAAAUUCGGUGCUUUUGAAAGAAUAGUAGCUUUAGCUCAUAAUAUAUUACUAGUGUAGUAAUCCAUGUGAUGCGAAGCGACGGAUAGAUAAUUAUAAAAAAUAGAAAACGGUGACAAAAGAAGAAGUGACAAUGAGGGGUGGGUUCAUCUUGUCGAUGAAUGAAGGUAACAGUAAAAGGAAGAAGAAGAGGAACAGUUACACCCAAUGUAGAGGUGUGACUCAAUUCGGUUCAAAUAAAAAAAAAAGGGAAAACCUGGUUCGGUUUAAGCAAAAAGAAGGAAAAGUUGAGUUGGUUCGGGGUGGAAUCCACACUGGACAGCGAUCGGUUCGGUUUAAACAGAAAAAAGAGAAUCCGGUUCAAAGAUAGAAACAUGUAGAGUAGUUGGGCCGAUUCAAUCCAACGCAACAGAAAAAUCCAGUUUGGUUCAAGUAAAGAAAGAAAAAAUUCAAUCUCGUUCGAGCAAAGAAAAAAAAAAUGUGGAAGAUUUGAGCAGAUUUGGGAGAGCCCACGCUCAACGAUGAUCGAUUCGGUUCAAGCAAAUAGAAAGAAAAAAUCGAUUUGGUUGAAACAAAGAAAGAAAAAAAUAUAUAAAAAACUUGAGCUGAUUCGAGGUGGAGGUCACAUUCAAUAAUAAAAAAAAAGGAUAAUUGUCUAUAUACCCCUCAUACGUUUGAAAAUAUCCGAUUUAUUCAUAUUUUUUUUUCUUUCUAAAAUACCCCUCAUAUGUUCCACCGUUAUUGCAAAAUACUUCAGCAGUUAUCUCCUGUUAAGUUAACUUAGGUUAAACGUGAGUUAAAUAUCUACUACAAUUAAAAAAAAUAAAAUGUCAAUUUUGCCCUUAACUUAAGGGCAAAUAAGAAAGUUGGUGACGGUAGAGGGGUAUAUUUGAAAAGACCAAAAGUCAAAAUACUUUUUGUGCUCUGACUUUAAUAAGAAAAAUCGGUGAUGGGGGAAGGAUAUAUUUGAAAAGGCAAAAUAGUAAUUUUAUACAGAUAACAGAGUUUAUUAACAGAUUUUAACUCUAGGGUAUAUUUGAAAUAGGUUGAAACGUAAAACAGGUAUUUUUAAUAUUAGCCUUCUAAGAAGGAUAAAUUAGAAAGUCUAAAAUUUUUCAGAAGUAUAUAAGCAAUUGUCCCUUCUGAAAAAAAAAUGUUGCUAUCCGAGAAAUUUAGAAGGAAUAAUAUAUAAAUAGAUAUAUAGGAAUAGGUCGAUAAAGAGUUGAGCUAUGAUACUUUUACAAGUAUCACCAUCAUGGUGCUAUUAGGUUUUAAGCCAUUGGAUCUACUUUUUGAUUAUUAAUAGUCCUUGGAUUAAACACUAUUUCACCUACCACCACCUAUCACCACCUACCACCAUCAUCUCAACCUCACAUCUCUCCAUUUAAGGGCUAAGAACACACAAGUAUCAUCCCCAUGAUACUUUUACAAGUAUUCUAGCCCUACUCGGUCGAUAAAGUAGAUUAUUAUUAGUUUACAGAGAGGAAUCCGAGCUACUCCUGCUGCAAAACGGACGUAGAUUCCUCGUCAGCUCUUCCCACUUGAUUAUCGUUGGCUUCCGUGCGCUCGCCCUCCCGGCCUUCCACUCCAGAAAGCUGCCGAUUGAUUCCGAUGGGAUCCGACUUCAAAUCCAUCCCCAUAAUUGGUAACCCAACAAUUCCUCUCUCUCUCUCUCUCUCUCUCUCUCUCUCCAAAUUCUCUCUCUUUGGAGAAAAAAUGUUUUCCGUGAAAGUAUUUUUUUAAUGAAAAACCUCUUUUUCAGUUUUCUGCUCGUUUAUAGUUUCGAGUAAAACUAGCUUUUUCGAAAAAUUUCUUUUUUUCAUAUUUUAUGAAAAACCGGUGAUUUUGUUUUCUGAACCAAAUUCGGAAAACGGAAGCAGUAGUUUUUCGUGAAAUCUGAAAAAAGGUUUUCAAAAAAGCUAAUUUUUCUUAGAACCAAACAGAUAAAAAAUUGGAAAAACCGAGUUUUCAAUAAAAAUCCUUUUUAGUGGAAAUCUUUUUUCCAUACUUUUCGGAGGAACCAAACAGCCCCGAAGAUUCGUACUCGGAUUGUUUGAGGAUUGAGAAGGUUGAGAAUGAGAGCUGAACUCUCUGAGGUCGAAUCUCCCAUCGUUUGGUAUCAGAACAAGUUUUCUGAUAAUAACUUGUGUGUUAGGAGGAUUUUCUUUUAUUAUUGCAACCUAGGAUUUCGACUUUAGUUCACUGUAAGGUCAUCGUAAUCAUGAUUUUUCAGGAUGGUUGAUUUUGUCGUCGACGGUGAUUUAUCAUAUUCAGAUCUAAAUGAUGUGGAGGAUGUGUGUAACAUUUGCGCAGAUUAUGGUUCUUUCUCGGAUAAUUGAGAACAAGAUCAACUAUUGAAUCUGGUUUUAAGUUGCAGGAACAGUAACAAGUUUACAUAAGUAAAUGUUACCAAUGAGGGAUCAAUACAAUAACUGCGGAAAAAAUUAGUGACGACUUAGUUUACUAGAAUGACAAUCUGCAGCAUAUGGGAAAGAAUCAAAAAGAGAACCUGCAGGUUUUGAAUCUGACAGUACUUUGUUGUUGCUGUGUAGUCUGACAAGAUUCUAUUUCACCCUCUAGGAUGUGUUCUAAUGCUGAACUUCUCGAAACCUGGGACUUGUUCGACGACAAGCUGUGGUUUAUAUGAUGGUUUUAGGUCUUGCUGUGCGACGAGUAAUCUGUUAGGGGCUUAUGGUGUGUAGGAAUGGGACCAAAUGUUGGAUAUCUGUUAAGCGCCUGUGUGUUUAGUGUUUGCAGUUGUUGGUGUGAUUACAAUGUAUUCGUAUCAGUUAUAGGGAAUCAAUACGGUUCGGUGAAUUUAUAUGAAUGUGAAAUCAGCGAGCGAUAGAUAGAUAGGAAUGGACCUUAAUGCGUUGUGAAAGCUUGAAAAGGUUGUGGAUGAUCAUAGCAAGGCUCUAGAUUUACCUUCUUAACCGUAUGAAUCUAAAUUCUAUUCGAUUAAAUCUAAUACUAAAAAAGACUUGAAAUAGUUAAAGAUAUUUCUGUAGGGAUGGCUAGUACGUGAAAUUCGACUCCAAGUAGGCUUCAUUCUAUUGAAAAAUCUAUUAAAGCUCUAGGUUGGGUCAAAUAAAUGUCGAGUUUUGGUGUGCAUUGCUCAACAUUACAUGCAUGCUUGAUAUUUUUCAUCCACGUUGAUCUUCCGCUAAUGCAUUUAACCAAGAAAUGAAUGUCGAGUUUCUUCUUCGUCGUCUUAGAGCAGUGAAUUUGCUCGACUAUGUUGAGAAAUACAAGCUCAGGCAUUAAAUGAUGUUCUGUUUGUUCAUUUAUUUAUUACUGUAAUAAUAUGCGCUUAGCAGCACAUCAGAUUACAUUACUUCAUUCGGUGUUUUAUCUCUUAUCUUUUUUUUUCUUGUUCUUUUUUCACCUAUCCAGAUAUUAGUCCGCUUUUGGACAAGAUUGAUGAUCCAAAGAUGGUUCAAGACAAAGAACUGCUCAAAGUUGUUAGAUUGUUGGACAAGGCUUGCAAAGAAGCUGGAUUCUUUUAUGUGGUAGCUUUAAAAUCCCUCGGCACCUACUUAUACUAAUAUCACCUUGCUGGAACUAAUUUCAAUAAUUGGUUUACAUUUAAGAUCGUGAAAUAUAUGUUAUCUAGUUGUGAAAUAUGCACCUGCUAUUCUUAUCGUAUCAUUAUGUACAUCGUCCUUGUUUUAGUCACGCUUGACUAACGAUAGAACAAGCAUUUUUACGUUUUAGUGUGUUGCAGGAUAGAUGAGGGGUUCCGGUUCAUAUAUUUGAUAGGAAAAAUAGGAAAUUUUUCCUUAAAUCUAUUCUACCAAGAGAAUGAUGCGUCUAAGGCUCACGCUUCGACUUCAUUGAGGAUGGUAAAUUGCCUAUGGCAUCAAAUUUGGUCGGAGUGAUCUCUGUGGGAAUUCCUAGGACUAGGAACGGAUUGUGGGAACUGAGAGACGAACAAGAAAUCAAGGAGAACAAAUUUUAUUUUGUGAAGAGAGAGAGCGGGAGCUAAAGUGAAUAAGAAAUUAAGGUCGGAAAUAUGUGUAAGCGAAGAACUUCUUUUUCAUUAUUCUCUAACUCACAGGUCGAAAAUUGGUUACUGUUGUAGAUCACUGGAUAAUAGGUAUUCUAUAACACAUAUCUAAUCAAUCUUAGAGAACAAACCAGAUAUGUAGACUUGUCUCCGCUUCAUCGUAGUUGCAGCAGAGGAUGCUUGUUUAGCUUCCUUGCCGCUGAAUUUGGAGUCACCGCUAAAUACUUUUGAUUACUGAAACUCAUUGGAAGACUAUUUGUGUACUGUGUUUAUUUUCAAUGUCUUCGUCAGUCGUAACUAUUUACCGUAAACAGAAGGGUCAUGGUAUUCCGGAAUCACUGGUCAAAGAAGUUAGAGAUAUAACGCAUGGAUUUUUCGCUCUUCCAUAUGAGGACAAAGUGAAGAUUAAGAUGACCUCAGAAAGCGGAUACAGGUGAAAUCUUCUAUGCCAUGUUUAUCUUUGACUUGUAUUCUGUACAAACACCAAAUUUCACCCUUACAUGGCUUUUCUGAUUAUAUCAAUCAGAGGAUACCAAAGAGUUGGAGAAAAUGUCACCAAGGGGAAGCCUGACAUGCAUGAAGCCAUUGAUGUAAGUCUUGGUUACUUUAUCUAAUCAUCUUACGAUCUAUUGUCGUAUAACAACUCAUGGACAGAAGCGAUAAUGCAGUGCUAUAGACCUUUGGAACCCGGCAGUUUUGGAGAUCUCGGUAAACCUUUAGAAGGGCCUAAUUUAUGGUAUGCAGAUUCUGCAGUUCAUUAUUAGCAAAAGAAAUAUGUUGAAACUCUUGCAUUUAUGAAUUGUUCUUCGUUUUAUUCCUUCACUACUCGGUGCAGAGGAUUCAGUUUUAUCACUUAUUUCUUGCUACUUUUAUUCCAAACCAUGUGAGUAAACAGGGAGACUUCUAUAGGCUUUAUUUUACAGACUCUCGACAGUUCCUAUGAUCAAUAUUAUCUAACAUAACCGAAUUUAGCAUAAAUUGACCCAAAAUUGACUCAAUACCAACGAAAUUCGAGUUGCCUCAAUUUCGAUUAUUGGUUUUGAAACGCAUAAACUUCUGUGCCUGGACAGCCUCCAUUGAAGAGGAGAUCGUAGUCUUUGAUUCAUCCAAUAUUGCAGUUUAAGUAAGGUGAAUCUUUAAGAAAGGUUGGGGAUUAUUAGAGCAAAUUAUUUGUCGAUGUGAAAGAAAGAUUGAAAGGACACUAGUUACAAAAGUGCUGCUUGUAAGGAGGCGACAGAUAUGAUUAGUAUAUGCGUGCAAGAAGUCGGAAUGGUAGUAAUGCUAGCGAGAAGUAAAGUUGGAGAGCAGUCAUGAGAUGGUGCAAGAUAUUCAUGCGAGGAAGAACUUUUCAAUCGGCAGAGAUCUUAUAUUGGUGGAGAUUUGAGGGCAUAUGAUUGCGCUAUUGUUGACCGAGAGCAUAGCUCCAAAUAAAAGCAUAGAAAAGACUCAGAUAUUGGCACAGGCUGUGCCCACCAUGCCAACAAGAUAUCAGCACGAUACGGCCUCCGUGCUGGCGUCACAGCUGAAAACCUCUUUUCUUUAAAAUUAGUAAAUAGUUGCCAAAGAAAAUAAGCAUUUCGUGCCAUUGUGUGUCGACACACAAGUAUCUUUUUUGUGCAAAGCACGUCAUGGCACACACGUGUCGUAUUGUGCUAGCAAGUUUUUGGUACAACUCUGUGCCACGACAGUUAAAUCCUUGAUAUUUACUACAAUUAACCGUCUCCCAUGCAAUAGUGAAUUGUAUUAAUUAUGUAGAUUCUUUGUUCUUAUAGGACUGUUCAUCGAGAACUUUGUAAACUCAUGUUCACUUUUAAUUUUCCCUUUUUUUUGACCCUAGGCCUGAUCAUCCAUCCAAUUUCAAGGAAACUAUGGAAGAGUAUAUUGGCCUUGUGAGAGGUGCACUUAUCAACUUGUUUUAUUGUUCGAUUCUGCUAAUGCACGGUGUAUAUUUUUUCUCGAUGAAUUGAUGUAUCUGCUCUACGUUUGUACGAUUUAGAUCUUUCGAGAAAGAUUUUGCGCGGAAUUGCUUUAGCAUUGGGUGGGCCAGUUGAUGCACUUGAAGGCGAAAGAGCUGGGGAUUCGUUUUGGGUUAUGAGGUUAAUCGGUUAUCCGGUUUCAACUGAUAUACCAGAAGAGGAACUCACAGAUACUGGAUGGUACAGAAAUGCUCGUAACAAAUGCAAUUUUAAUAUGUUCUUGAAAUUAAAGAUCGAUAAGGUCCUAAACACUUUCUCUCGACUUUUCUCAUGUGUACUGCAUCAAAAUUUAGUGGAGCUCAUACAGAUUAUGGUGAGUAUAAUUAUCUUGAAACUUUCGUGCAAUCAAUGUUUUAUGUUAUCAGUAAAACUUUGAUGCACUUCAUGGGAGAGAUUGUAAUUUUUCCUUGUCUAGAUCUCAUGACAUGAUUAUGAUUUGUGCUACAGGUCUCCUCACAUUGGUCAAUCAAGAUGAUGAUAUUUGUGCUCUUGAGGUAAUAUAUUUUACGUCACCUCCAUGUUUCGUGUGUUAUCUCAUUAUUAAAUACAUUGUGUUAGGGAAUUUGGUAAUAUGUGGUGAAACGACCAUUGUUCUCCAAACGCUUAAGCUAUUAGAGAAGAGUAUUUUAAAUAUUUACAUUCAGCACUCCCCAUCAGGUCUGGAUAGAGAACAGUAUUUUAAAUAUUUACAUUCAGCACUCCCCAUCGGGUGUGGGCUCAAGAUGUGACAUUGAAUUAAAUUGGAGGAAUCCAAAUUAAAUGACGCAAGGAGCCUGGUAGGACUCGAACUCACGACCUCAUGCUCUGAUACCAUAUUAAAGAUUAUAAAAUAAUUAUUGUUCUCCAAAACUUAGUCUACAAAAGAGCGGUGUUUAAAAUAUUUGAACAUAUGCUAUUAUUUACCUUCGGCAAAAUGUGAAAAAUAUUUGAACAUAUGCUAUUAUUUACCUUCAGCGAAAUGUCAACAUCUGAAUAGUCACUUUUGAAACAAAUCAGCAAAAAUGUAGGAAUCCCAAUUACGCAGUAGGUCAUCUGGAAUCAUAUCUUUCAAUUUUUUGAGUUUCUUCAUGGAAUGCAAUGGAAAUUGACAGUUUAGUUUGCAGCUUUCUGAUAGAAUCUAUUGAUUGAUGGAAACUGUUUACCCUUGAAAUGAACCUGAUGAAAUUUUCUCAAAUCUGCUGGCAAGUUGAGGGGUUCCAAUUAUAAAAUCAAAAAGUGCUAAACCUAUUACGGCAUGACCAAUAGUUGGCAUGGUUGUUCGUACAUUUUCGCUGUUGGAAUUAGAGGGCAGCAAAAACUUACAAACUGGAUAGCUAACGUAUUCAGGAGCCUAAAUCGGAUCGUGUUUCUUGCAUUCGCCUUUUCAAAUCCCUCCGUUCUUAAAGAUCUGCAAUCAAUGUCGUGCAUGCGUAGACUGAGUAUAGUUUCACUGAAUUCAUGUUGGCUGGCCUUGUGAUGACUAGUUAACAAAGCUUUAUCUGAUCGUAGAACACCGAAUUUAAUUCUACUUGCAUCUGUUUGGUAGCGGGAACGCGUCCAGCGAAACAACAGUACAUUGUGAUAAUGUGGUUGAUUGUUAACAACUUGAUAUAUGUCAAUUUUGUGAACUAAACCACAGGUGAGAAAUCGAUCUGGCGAGUGGAUUUAUGCAGUGCCAAUCCCUGGUACCUUCGUUUGUAACAUCGGCGAUAUGCUAAAGGUUUUUAAUCAUAUUAGUCAAAGUUCCCUUUCCUUUUUGUUGCAAAAUAGGCACAACUAAUUUGCGUAACGAAAUUAUAGGUGUGGUCAAAUGGACUAUAUGAGCCAACUCUUCAUCGGGUGGUUAACAACUCCCCGACGUAUCGUGUCUCAGUCGUGUUUUUUUACGAGGUAACACCCCCCGCAACUUUAUCUUUAUUUUCGACUCAUUUCUAAGUUUCUAAUUGCAUCUCUUUUGCAUGACAAAGCCAAACUUCGACACAGCCGUGGAACCCCUGGAGUUUUGUAAGCAAAAAACAGGCGGUAUCGUAAAGUAUGAAAAGGUGGUGUACGGGGAGCAUCUAGUUCGCAAAGUCCUUACCAACUUCGUCGUUUGAUCGAUUAGUUUGAGCCAAAUUCUUGGGAGUAUUUAAUGUACACUUAUGUAUCAGCUUCAAAUAUGUAAUGUUAACUCAAAAGUGCACUUUUUUAAGUCGCAUCGUUGACAAUAACUUCGUUUCUUUAGUCCAAUUUGCUAAUCUAGUUUCAGUUCUUUUCUUCUUUUGUUUCAACUUAGUUGCUAGUUUUUUGUCUCCUGAUGGAAAAUUUUCCCUGUCAGAAACUGUAAAAUCUACUGCAUUCAGAAAUUGCUUAGUUGCAAUUGGUGGUCAUAAAUUCACAUGUAUGCUGCAAUUACUGGUGAGUUUGAAUCUGAUGAAGUACAGCAGAAGUUAAGUUGGUUCAAUUUGGUUUCGCGCCGAAUGUAUCUUUACUCUCUGCUGAUCAUUGUUUAGCAGAGCUACUAUAGGAAACUCAAGUGUUCCCUGAAUCUGCUCUACAGCUUUGAUCAAAGAUAGGAGCAGAAACUUUAUUUGUGUCUGUUUGACCUAACUUCUGUAAGAAAUACUCUACUCACGAGCAGAUUCAUAGAGCUGUUUUAAUUUAGGGGAUAAUUAUUUAUAUACCUCUCAAAAUUUUUGAAAUAUUUUAUGUACUUCUAUUUUUUUAUUUUAAAUGUACUUCUUGUAUAUUUUUUUGUUAUUCAAAAAUAAUUUCGCUGGUAGUACUUGUUAAGUUAUCUUCGAUUAAAUCCGAGUUAAAUUUCUUCCAGAGAUAAAAGGAAGUCAAAAUGCCUUUUUUGCUCCUAACUUAAGAGCAAAUAAGAAAAUGUGGCAAUGAUAUAAAGAUAUAUUUGAAAGGGCAAAAAGUUAAAAUAUCUUUUUUGCCCCUAAGUUAAGGGUAAAUUAAAAAAGUGAAUGACGGUAGAACAAUAUAUUUGAAAUGGCAAAAUAAUAAUUUUACAGAGAUAACAGCUGUUUCUGACAGUUUACUAAUAGAAUCUAAAAGUUAUAUUUGAAAAAACUUGAAACAUUAAAAAGAUAUUUUUAGUAUUAACCUUCUGAGCGGAAUAAAUAAGAAAAUUUAAAACUUUUUAAAAGUAUAUAAGAAAUUGCCUCUUUAUUUAUACUAGUUAAAAGGCCCUGCACGAUGCGGUGGGAAGACAAUACAAUAGUAAAUUAUUAUAACUAUUAAUAUUAUUUUUUUUCUAUUAUGCAUUAAUAUUUUUAAAUAUUAUUUAUCUCAGUAUUGAAUAAUUAAAAAUUACAGAAUAAAUUAAAGAAUGAAAUUAAAGUGCAUUUCUUUCUAAAAAAUAUUUAAAACUAAUAAGUUAAAUGAAUAAAUCAAUUUAAAAUAAAAUAAAAGCUCAUUACAGUAUUAAGAAAGAUAAAUAAUAUUUUUCUAUUGUCAUCAAGGUAGAAUUUAUAAAAAAAAAUAAAAUAAAAAAUUAAUUGGAAUGANAGUAUUAAGAAAGAUAAAUAAUAAUUUUCUAUUGUCAUCAAGGUAGAAUUUAUAAAAAAAAAUAAAAUAAAAAAUUAAUUGGAAUGAAAGUACUAUAUUUGGUAUUCUUUUUUUUGAGAAAAAUGUAGCACACUACCCGCUUCAUUCAUUGGAUAAAUAAACUAGGCUACAAGAGUGGGGCAACCUGGGCCCCUAAAAAAAAAUACAAAAAACCAAAAAAAAAAGGGUUCAGGUUGAGAGAAGUGAUAAGUUUAGUGUUUAAAUUGAGAGGAGUGAAUCCCACUCCUUCACCAGAUGCUUGAGAUUAAGAACAACCAUCCCCGGGUUCGGUUGGGAUCUCCUAAAGAUCAAGUCGUUUCUGACCUUUCAAGUGAUCCACCAACAGCCUACUAAGUCUGUCAGACUAUUUCUCUUCUUAUGUAGGCUCUUCCUGGCCGUCCACCUGUCCCAUACUAGGUUCACCUCGUCCCCCGGAUCUUGGGCCUGCACACUUUCUACCCCUAUCACAAUAAUAAACUUGUUGAAAACGCACCGGGUGAACAGGUGGUCCACUGUUUCCUCUUCCGACCCGCAAAGUAUGCAAGUUGGGUUUUGUACCCACCCUCUCUUAAAGAGCUUAUCCUUCGUAGGAGUUCUCUUCUUAAGAACCAGUCAGCAGAACACUUUUACCUUUAAAGAGAUUUUGAGUCUCCAGAUUCUAGGGGCUCGUGCGUCCCUCGUACCCCCGCCCGUCAACGCCACAUAGGUCGAUUUUACCGAGAAGAGUUCAUCCUCACUCCAUCUCCAUUGUAUUCUGUCCGAUGUAUGCUCGACGGAGAAGCGGGAAAUCCUUCCCUCCAGCUCCGCGAAACUGGGUCUUGACCCUAGCCUCUGGUUCGCCGCUGCUCCCCCAAUCCGAAGCCAGUUCCAACUUCCCCUCGUAAAGCAUUCGCUGACUUUCAGGUUUUUCCCCUCGGACGUAAGGUAGGCCAUAGGGAACAAGAGGUUCAACAUGUUAUCCCCACAUCACCGAUCAUGCCAAAAGUUGAUGGUAUGCCCGUUACCAAAUUUGUAGGCCAUUCCCCAAGAGAAAAUUGAGUUAAGACGAAGAACCCCCGUCCACCAACUUGAGUAGGGUCUGAAUGAUUUGCCUUUCCUCAAUGGUGUACGUCGUCGAUAGUAAAGGUCUCGGAUUAGCUUAUUCCACUACAAUAGGGGAGCUGUGUGGAAUUUUCACUACCAUUUAGUCAGAAGAGCUUGAUUUUUGAUCUCGACAUCCAAGAUACCUAACACUCCUUCCUUCUUACUCUUACACACAUUGUUUCAAGCCAUCAAGCAGUCCUUGCCUACGGAGUUGCGCCCUCCACUCCAGAAAAAGUCUCUUCUAAGCGCUUCAAUACUCUUAAUCACCUAUUUGGGUGCCUUGAACACAGAUAGGAAGAACAAAGGUAAGUUGGUUAGGACAUAUAUUUGGUAUUCUUGACGGUAACGUAUUCAUUGUGCCCUCAUUAGCUUUUAUCGUCACGCCUAUAACUAAUAAAGUAUUUGAUUCCUAAAUUUUAAAUUAGUGAAGAAAUCGGCAGGUAAUUAUCAGAAGCACAAAAAAAAAAAGAUUAAUAAAAAGGCAUUCGAAAUCAAAAUAGAUAUUUUUUACACUGUAAAAAAAUUCAACUAUCAAAUAUUAUAUUAUUAUAUAAAUUAAUCCUUAAAAAAUUGUUUGGGGCCGAAAGUGAAAAGCAUGCAAAGUUUAGGGAUUAGGGACCAAAAUAAAAAAAAAAGAGUGAAAAAAUUGGGGCCCGAUGUGCAAUUAACCUCUUAAGAAAUUGAUGUGGGCCCCGCAACCCUGCCAAAAUAAGAGGAGGUCUUUUUGGGUUCUAAAUUAGUAUAUUUAUAAAAAUAAAAAAUAAAUAAAUAUAAAUAAAGUAAAAAAAAUAAAAAUCUAAAUUAGUGUGUUUAUAAAUAAAUAAAUAAAUAUAAAUAAAGUAAAAAAAAUAAAAAAAAGGUAUAAGUUGUGAGAGAGAGAGUGAGAGAGAGAAUUAAAAAAAAAAAGUAGUGAAGGGGCCUUUAUAAAGUAUAACUAGUGAAGGGGCCGCGUGAUGCGGCGGAAAGACAAUAUAGCAAUAAAUUAUUAUAACUAUUAAUAUCACUUUUUUUUCUAUUAUGUAUUAAUAUUUUUCAAUAUUAUUUGUCUCGAUAUUGAAUAAUUAAACAUUAAAGAAUGAAAUUAAAAUAUNAAAAAAAAAAAAAAGGGUUCAGGUUGAGAGAAGUGAUAAGUUUUGUGUUUAAAUUGAGAGGAGUGAAUCCCACUCCUUCACCAACUGAUUGAGAUUAAGAACAGCCAUCCCUGGGUUCGGUUGGGAUCUCCUAAAGAUCAAGUCGUUUCUGACCUUCCAAGAGAUCCACCAACAGCCUACUAAGUCUGUCAGACUAUUUCUCUUCUUAUGUAGGCUCUUCCUGGCCGUCCACCUGUCCCAUACUAGGUUCACCUCGUCCCCUAGGUCUUGGGCCUACACACCGUCUACCCCCAUCACAAUGAUAAACUUGCUGAAAACGCACCGGGUGAACAGGUGGUCCACUGUUUCCUCUUCCGACCCGCAAAGUACGCAAGUUGGGUUUUGUACCCACCCUCUCUUAAAGAGCUUAUCCUUCGUAGGAGUUCUCUUCUUAAGGACCAGCCAGUAGAACACUUUUACUUUUAAGGGAUUUUGAGUCUCCAGAUUCUAGGGGCUCGUGUAUCCCUCGUACCCCUAUCCGUCAAAGCCACAUAGCUCGAUUUUACCGAGAAGAGUUCAUCCUCACUCCAUCUCUAUUGUAUUCUGUCCGGUGUAUGCUCGACGGAGAAGCAAGAAAUCCUUCCCUCCAGCUCCGCGAAACUGGGUCUUGACCCUAGCCUCUGGUUCGCCACCGCUCCCCCAAUCCGAAGCCAGUUCCAACUUCCCCUCGUAAAGCAUUCGCUGACUUUCAGGUUUUUCCCCUCGGACGUAAGGUAGGCCAUAGGAAACAAGAGGUUCAGCAUGUUAUCCCCACACCACCGAUCAUGCCAAAAGUCGAUGGUACACCCGUUACCAAGUUUGUAGGCCAUUCCCCAAGAGAAAAUUGAGUUAAGACAAAGGACCCCCGUCCACCAACUUGAGUAGGGUGUGAAUAAUUUGCCUUCCCUCAAUGGUGUACGUCGUCGAUAGUAAAGGUCUCGGAUUAGCUUAUUCCACUACAAUAGGGGAGCUGUGUGGAAUUUUCACCACCAUUUAGUCAAAAGAGCUUGAUUCAUGAUCUCGACAUCCAAGAUACCUAACCAUCCUUCCUUUUUACUCUUACACACAUUCUUCCAAGCCAUCAUGCAGUCCUUACCUACGGAGUUGCACCCUCCACUCCAGAAAGUCUCUUCUAAGCGCUUCAAUACUCUUAAUCACCUAUUUGGAUGCCUUGAACACAGAUAGGAAGAACAAAGGUCGGUUAGGACAUAUAUUUGGUAUUCUUGGUGGCAACAUAUUCCUUGUGCCCUCAUUAGCUUUUAUCGUCACACAUACAACUAAUAAAGUAUUUGAUUUCUAAAUUUUAAAUUAGUGAAGAAAUCAGUAGGUAAUUAUCAGAAGCACAAAAAAAAAUAAGAUUAAUAAAAGGCAUUCGAAAUCAAAAUAGAUAUUUUUUACACUGUAAAAAAAAUUCAACUAUCAAAUAUUAUAUUAUUAUAUAAAUUAAUCCUUAAAAAAUUGUUUGGGGCCGAAAGUGAAAAACAUGCAGAGUUUAGGGAUUAGGGACCAAAAUAAAAAAUUGGGGCCCGAUGUGCAAUUAAUCUCUUAAGAAAUUGAUGUGGGCCCCGCAACCCUGCCAAAAUAAGGGAGGUCUUUUUUGGGUUAUAAAUUAGUGUAUUUAUAAAAAUAAAAAAUAAAUAAAUAUAAAUAAAGUAAAAAAAUAAAAAUCCAAAUUAGUGUAUUUAUAAAUAAAUAAAUAAAUAUAAAUAAAAUAAAAAAAUAAAAAAAGGUAUAAGUUGUGUGAGAGAGAGUGAGAGAGAGAAUUAAAAAAAAAAAAGUAGUGAAGGGGCCUUUAUAAAGUAUAACUAGUGAAGGGGUCAGAGCGAUGCGGCGGAAAGACAAUAUAACAAUAAAUUAUUAUAAUUAUUAAUAUCACUUUUUUUCUAUUAUGUAUUAAUAUUUUUCAAUAUUAUUUGUCUCGGUAUUGAAUAAUUAAACAUUAAAGAAUGAAAUUAAAAUAUAUUUCUUUCCAAAAAUAUUUAAACCAUAAAAAAAAUAUUGAGAGAAAAAAAUUAAAAAAAAAAAAGAAAAGAUGUAGAGUAUGCGAGAGAGAGUGAGAGAGAGGGUAAAAAAAAGACCCACCGAAGCCCCCCGCCAAACGCGGGAAGGCUUAUGUUCGGUUAUAUAUAUAUAUACAGAGAGAGAGAGAGAGAGAGAGAGAGAGUUGAGCUGGAAUGNAAAGAGAGAGAGAGAGAGAGAGAGAGAGAGAGAGAGAGAGUGUGUGUGUAUGUUAAGCUGGAAUGCUAUCGGUAGCAAACGGGCUCCGUUGCCACCCAUUUGUUUUCGAUGAUGGAGCCUUCAAAUCGACGAUCAGCACCGUUGAACAUGAUCUAUAUCACUUGAAGUAUUUAGAAAUCAUAUUUUAAAUUAUUUCAACAUCAUUGACCUAAUGAUCAAAGUGUUUCAAAAUUUGUAAUUUUAAUGGUCGAUAUGAGGCGUUUUCUCGUUUAACGGUGUAAAACUAUCCAAAUCAAUUGAAUUUUUGUUAGAAAAUUUUUUAGACUAUUUAGAACAAGAUCUAUACUUUCGAUCUUUAUUACAAAAUUUCUGUCAUCACUUUUUAGAGGAUAUUCAUUUUCAGCCGUUCAUUUUUACGCCCACUUGAUUAACAAGAGAACAAUAUCGAAAAAGUAUGAAAUUUGAUUUCUAGAUAUUUUGAGUGAUAUAGAUCAUUUUCAACGCUACCGAUCAUCGAUUUGGAGGCUCCAUCAUCGAAAAUAAAUGGAUGGCAACGGAGCCCGUUUGCUACCGACAGUAUUCCAACUCAACUAUAUAUAUUUAUAUAUAGAGAGAGAGAGAGAGUGAGCUGGUAUGCUUCUGGAAGCACGGAGUGCUUCCAAGUUGUUUUCGAUGUUCGAACUUUCGAAUCGACGAUUGGUUCCGUUAGAGUUGAUUUAGAGUAUUUGAAGUACCUAGAAAAUAAAUUUUGUGAUUUUUUGAUAUUAUUUGCCUAGUGAUCGAAGGGGCUCAAAAUCAAUAAUUUUAAUGACCAUGGUGAGCCGUUUGCAAGUUUAACGGUGUAGAAAUACUCAAAUCACAUAAAAUUUUGAUAGAAAAUUCUUUAUACCAUAUAAAACAAGAUCAAUAACUUUGAUCUAAAAUUUUAAUGUCAUAUCAUCAUAGUUUGUAAGAUUUUUAUUUUCAGCUGUUGAUUUUGAGCCACUUCGAUCACUAGGUAAAUGAUAUCGAAAAAUCACAAAAUUUAUUUUCUAGAUACUUCAAAUACUCUAGAUCAAGUCUAACGGAACGCAUCGUCGAUUCGAAAGUCAGAAAAUCGAAAAUAACUUAGAAGCACGAGCGCUCCAUGCUUCCAGAAGCAUACAAACGCACUAUCUAUAUAUAUACUAAUAUAUUUUUAUUAUAUAUAUAUAUUAUAUAAUAUAAUAUAUAAUAUAUAUAUAUAUAUUUGAGGUCCUAUGCUUUUAAAAAGUACUAAGUCAUUGGUGCUUGUAGAUUUUUAGCCAUUGGAUAAGAGAUAUGCAGUUAGAAUGAUGUGGCCCAUAGGAUUGAGUGGCGUGGUUGGUUGAAUGGUAUAAUCUAAGGGUUGAAAAUGAUCCGAGAAGUAGAUCUAACGGGAUUAAAAAACUCACACCAAUGUGUUUAGUGCUUUUACAAAACACCAUAGCUGGAUUUAUAUAUAUAUAUAUAUAUAUAUAUAUAUAUAUAUAUAUUAUAUAUAUAUUAUAUAUGAGAUAACAUACAUAAAUUGAAAGCACAAGGAAUUAUCACUGAAAUUUUAGAUAAUUUAUUUUUGUCAAAAAAAAUUUGUGUAUAACUAAGUUGUGGAUAACAUAUUAAUAAUAUAUAACUAAGCUGUGCAUGCAUCAAAACAUCCAUUUGAAGUUUUAAAUUAUUUAUAUCAAAAUUAGCAUAAAUAAUCACUUAAAAAAUUGUGUGGGCCUCACAACCCUCCAAAAUAAGGAAAGGUUUUUUUUAGAGUUACCAAUUCAUAUACAUUGUGGGGACUAAAGUAAAAAGUAUACAAAAUUUAAGGAUCAAAAUUGGCAUGAAAAAAAAAAAAUAAAUAGGCGAUGACAUAAUAAUUUCGAUAAUUUUAUAAUAUUUUUUAACGGUUGUUAUUUUAUUGCCAUGAAAUUACGAGAUUUGAAAACUUAAUUGUAAAAAAAAAAAAGAACCAAAAUAAAAAAAAAAUGAUGGAAAGUUUGGGCAGCACUAUACAAUUAAUAAUUCUAAAAAAAUUCUCAAAAAUUUGUGGGCCCCACAAUCCCAUAAUAAGGAGAGACCUUUUUUGAGUUUAGAAUUAGAUGAAAUUUUAAUUUUGCUAUCUAUAGUAAAAAUAAAAAAUAUAUAUUUAUUGUAGGCAAAAAUUAAAAAAAAAAUGUUGAGAGAAGAAAAAUUAAAAAAAAAAAGUGUGUGNGUGGGACCCACCAAAGCUUCCCGCCAAAAGUGGGGAGGCUUCAGUGGACUGGUUCCCAAUUCAUUAUAUAAGAAUUGUUUUUAUGCAAUAAUACCUUCACGUAUCGGAGUGAGACACCUCUAAAAGUUGUUUUGUACUUCAACUUUUUUUUUUUUUUCUCAAAAACUAACUAAGAUUCCAUUUGGUAUUAUUAUCCAUCUAAUGAUCUAAAGCUGCUAUGCAAAACAGAGCUAAAACGAAAACAUAUAAAAAUAUACUUCUCCUUGUUCUAAUGGUGUUGUAGAAAAUAUAUUAUAACCAUUAAUUAUAGUUAGAGGUGGCAAUCCAGUUUAUUGUUCGCGAGCCAGUUUAUGCUCGGUUCGAAAUAAACUCGAGAUCGAAUCACUAGUUUACUAAACGAGCUGAACAUGAGCUGAAUUUUUCAGCUCGUUUAAUAAACUAGCCGAACACAAGUUGGGGUUCACUCGCUUGUGUUCGGCUCGAUAACAAAUCGAAUCAUAUAUUUUAUAUUUAUAUAAUUUAUUUUAUAUAUAUAGAGAGAGAGAGAAAGAGAGCUAAGCUGGUAUACUAUUGAUAGCACAGAGGCAUUCAUGUUACCAAAUUGUUUUCAAUGAUGUGGCUUUCAAAUCAAUGAUCGGCUCCGUUAAACUUGAUUUAUACUAUUGAAACUAUUUGAAAACUAAAUUUCAUAAUAUUUCGACAUCAUUUGGCUAGUGAUCAAAAGGUCUCAAAAUUGACAAUUUUAAUGGUAGAUUUGAUGCGUUUGUGAAUUUAAUAGUGUAAAACAAUCCAAAUUUGAUCAAAUUUUUAUAAUUUUUUUUUUCACUAUUUAGAGUAAGAUCAGUAUCUCUGAUCUUAAAUUCAAGUCUUUUAUCAUUAUUUUUUAUGAGAUUUUUAUUUUCAGCCAUUCAUUUUUAGACUACUUGUUUGAUAGAUAAAUAAUGUCGAAAAAUUAUGAAAUUUAGUUUCCAAAUACUUUUAAUAGUGUAGAUCAAGUCUAACGGAACCGAUCGUCGAUUUGGAAGUCGCAACAUUGAAAACAACUUGGUAGCAUAGAGGCUUCUGUGCUACCGAUAGUAUUCCAGCCUAGCUAUAUAUAUAUAGUUGAGCUAGAAUACUAUCAAUAGCAAACGGGCUUCGUUGCCACCCAUUUGUUUUCGAUGAUAAAGCCUCCAAAUCGACGAUCGGCAUUGAACAUGAUCUAUACCACUUGAAGUGCUUAGAAAUCAAAUUUCAAAUCUUUUCAAUAUCAUUUGUCUAAUGAACAAAGGGUUUCAAACUUUGUAAUUUUAAUGGUUGAUAUGAGGCAUUUUCUCAUUUAACGGCGUAAAGAUAUUCAAAUCAAUUGAAUUUUUGUUAGAAAAUUUUUUAAACUAUUUAAAACAAGAUCUAUACUCUUGAUCUUGAUUUACAAGACUCCUAUCAUCAUUUUUUAAAGAAUAUUUAUUUUCAUCCGUUCAUUUUUGUGUCCACUCGAUGGAUAAGAGAACAAUAUUAAAAAUAUAUGAAAUUUGAUUUCUAAACACUUUAAGUGGUAUAGAUCAUGUUCAACGGUGCCGAUCGUCGAUUUGGAGGCUCCAUCAUCAAAAACAAAUGGGUGGCAACGGAACCCGUUUGCUAUCGAUAGUAUUCUAGCUCAACUAUAUAUAUAUAUAUAUAUAUAUAUAUAGAGUAGGGCUAGAAUACUUUUACAAGUAUCACCCAAGUGAUACUUGUGUGUUUUUAGCCCUUGGAUGGAGAGAUGUGAGGUUGAGAUGAUGGGGGUAGGUGGUGGUAGGUGGUGGUAGGUGGAAUAGUGUUUUGAUCAAGAGCUAUUUGUAAUCAAAAAAUAGAUCCAAUGGCUAAAAACGUAUGCCUAUGGAACAUGAGAUGAUACUUGUAGAAAGUAUCCUAGAUCAACUAUAUAAUAUAUAUAUAUAUAUAUAUAUAUAUAUUAUAUAAAUAUAUAUAUAUAUAUAUAUAUAUAAUUGAGAUAGAAUACUCUCAAAAGCACCAACCCCCAGCCCUUGGACUACUCUUUGAUUACUAAUAACUUUUUGGAUAAACACUAUUCCACCUGACCACCAUCUACCAACCAUCAUCUCAAUCCUACAUCUCUUCAUCCAAUAGCUAAAAGCUCAAAAGCACCACCCUUAAUGCUUUUGAGGGUAUUCUAGCUCAAAUAUAUAGUAUAUAUAUAUAUAGAGUGAGGUCUAUAUACUUUUAAAAGUACGGAGCCUUCUGUGGGUUCGAGUGGUCGUUUUUCGAUGUUAUGACUUUAAUCGUCGAUCGGCUCCGUUAAACUUGAUCUAGAGUAUUUAAAGUACCUAGAAAAUAAAUUUUAUUAUUUUUCUAUAUCAUUUGCCUAGUGAUCGAAGGGACUCAAAAUCAAUAAUUUUAAUGGCCGUAGUGAACCGUUUGCAUGUUUAACGGUGUAGAAAUAUUCAAAUCACGUGAAAUUUUGAUAGAAAAUUCUUUAUACUAUAUAAAACAAGAUCAAUAUCUUUGAUCUAAAAUUUUAAUAUCAUAUUAUCACGUUUUGUAAGAUUUUUAUUUUCAGCCGUUGAUUUUGAGCCCCUUCGUUCACUGGGCAAAUAAUAUCGAAAAAUCGCAAAAUUUAUUUUCUACGUACUUCAAAUACUCUAGAUCAAGUUUAACGGAGCCGAUCGACGAUUCGAAAGCUGCAACAUGAAAAACGACAUGGAAGCACAGAAGACUCCGUAUUUUCAGAAGUAUAGUAGCCUCAAUAUAUAUAUUUCCAAUCUAAUACAUUUAAUUUAUUAUUUGUUGGCCAGCUCGUAAGUCAAAUACGAGCUGAAUUUUUCGACUCGAUAUUUUAACGAGUCGGCUCGUGUUUGACUUCUUUAUUAAAUGAGCCGAACAUGAGCCGGCUCCAGC
rnacentral:lncRNA from 1 species